UUUUUUUUUUUUUUUUUUUGUCGCUGGGUAUCGGUCACUCCGGACUGGUAAUACCGUCUGUGCCACUAUUCCCAUCGCCCGGGGAGAGCGGGCCCCACCGAUCCCCGAGAGUAUUACCCCGAACACUCAGCCUUGGGGUCGAACCCCAAACCUGUCUCACCUAAUGAGGCUACACAAGCCAGCUGAGCUGCCCGUGGGGGGCAUUUGGACCGAAGGAUUGCUCUUCUCUUUUGAAGUAUAAACUGUUUAUAGGAUUGCUUUUCUCUUCUGACGUAUAAACCUUUCAUAGGAAAAUUCUGUUCUGAUUUGAAAUGGUAGGUUGUUGCAUCUGCUGUAAAGUAAACCAUUUUUUAUGUAAGGUCAAUACAAAGUCAGAUGGUCUAUGAGGUUUUAGAUAUUGAUUGCGAUACUAUUCUAAUUGAUUCUUGCAAUUUUUUCUAACAAAUUUUUAAAAUAGACCAAAUUAGAUUUAGUAUACCAGAGGAAAAAGGUAUGAAUGACAAAAUUCCACAAUUGAUCUAUGAAUGCUAACCAAUCUGUUGUGAAUAAAAGCACAUGUACAGUGCAAUUAGAAAUGUUUUCCUAUCUUGUUAAUAACAUGAGAAACAAAAAUACAUAAUGAAAAUGAAAUUGCAUGCAUUAGAGUUUUGAGUCCGAAGAUGGGAGUUCAAUUACUCUAAAAUUAUUAAUUUAGUUUGUACUAUUUGUAAAUUUAAUCUGAUAAGAUGGUUCGUUCACUAUAGAGGAUUCACAUGGUUAUCCUUUAAAUACAUUUAUAUUUUCUAAAAAGAAACCCUUUAUUUAUUCUGAAGCGAAAGGAAUGAAAUAUUCUAUAAUUUUGUCUUAUAAAUGUAUCGUUAAAUUAGAAGCAUGUAUCCUUUUGCUAAUUUAUUUAAGAAUACUAAUCACUGCUAAAAAAACAAAAAAUCAUGUAAAGCAAUUUUUCUUUUGCAUAUUACUAUUAUUUGAUAGUAUGAUUUAUAAAAAUGUUGAAUCACGUGCAAAGCACGUGGUAUAUUACCAUUUAGAAAUUAAACACUCAAGUUUAUUAUCUAAAUAAGCAUGACUAUAAAGUCUUUAAGUUUGAGACUUGCAACUAGACAGAAGCUCAAUUUGACUUAACACAACUCGGCUCUGAAUUAAUUCCUAGUACCAAAAGGACACAUGUUCUAUUAAUGAUUCUUGAACCGUAAAACUAUAGAACCAUCAUAUCUGAUGCCCUGGAAAUUAAAGUUUUAACAUCUAUUAGAGUAUUACUAUCAAUUUAAGACAUUUGAGAUCUACCAGAAACUAACAAAGCAUGGCUACAACCAUCAAAUAGUAACCAACUACCCAUUCAUUUUCCAUUUUUUAUUUUCCCCAUUUUACAACCAAUCAACAUAAUCUAGGCUUUCCAUAUCUACCUUGUUAGGUUCAUGAAUAAAGGAUUAUAUCUAACAUUGGUUUGAGAGAUGAAAAAAGAGCGCUUAAUAUAUAAAUAAAAGUCUGAAACCUAAUAAUUUAAGUUUUUGAGUCAGAAUUGGGUUCUUAACUUACAUAUUGGGCUCUUUGAUGAGCUCUAUCGAGAUGUUUCUCCCUAAAAAGUGGUAUUAGAGUUUCAGGUUGCGAGAUUUGUUUGCUCACAAACACUUGAGUCUCAACAAACUGAAUGGUUGGAUGAAGAGUUUGGUUGUUCAGGGUUGGAUCCUAAUUAACUAUUGAGAUCAAGUAGGUUAGUGGUUGUUAACAAUUGAACAAUUUAAUAGGUAGUAUCCUUGUUUCAAGAAAUUGGUAGGAAGCUUUGAAGGUGAAGAAUGGAAAAUCGAAAAGCAUGAAGAUACUUGAUGGUAAAUCUAAACAGGUGAUUCAAAAAUCAAGAAAAAGGUGGAAUCCAAUAUUGAUUUUGGACGUGAAUCAGUGGAUACUUUUCACAACUCCAUCGGUUGAUUUAUUUCGAAUGGUUAUUAGAUUCGGAUUAUAUUCUUUAGGUGGUGUGGCAUGCGUAUUAAAGAAAUAAAGAGAUCUAAUUUUCAUGUACCAGAAAACUCUGAUAAUUACGAGUUUUUCGUUUUAGGUAGAGUUUUGGAAACCACACAUGUGAGACAGUCCUGAAAAUGAAAAGAAGUAUGGUGAUUUUACCAAUUGGUUGCCACAAUGAUUAGAAAUAGAGUUUACAAAAGGGGAUCCCAAAUUAUAAGUAGUGAUGAGAAGAAAUCUUGCAAAGAAAAAUGAUAAAUUGAGACACCUUCUCGAGAGUCAACAGGAAGUUAGACUCGGGGUAACUACACAUGUUUAUUUUGCCGAUUGAAUCAAUUUGGUAUUAAAACUAUAUUGAUUCAGAUGUGUAGUUCGAUACCAUAUUAUUUGGUAGUUGAAGGCAAAUGAUUGCUAAAAGAAAUUUUCGCCAAGGUGGAGAUUUGUUAGAAAAUUGGUUUAAUUUCUUUUAGACAUGUUUCUUAUUUUGUGUGAAAGUAACUAAUUUUCUAAUUGAUUUUAAUUAUUUGAAAUAGAAGUGAAAAAAUUUUCUAUUUAUAUAAGUUUAGGAAAUAAGAAUAGGAGUUAUUUCCUAUUCUGAACCAGUGUAAGAAUUAGCAUUGAUUUUCUGUUGUUAUUCGAUUUUUUGAUCAAAUAAUGUUCUAUAUAAAUAGAUGCGUUAACAUAUUACACAAGAGACACACUAAAAGCAUACAAAGGCGACAUGUAACCUUAUACAUGGAGUGUGAGUGAGGGUUCUUGGGAGAUGAGAGAUAGUAUACAAGGAUUGGGAUUGGGUUUAAAUUGUAUUCUUGUAUAGAGUUUUUCCUCUCAUAAUAAAGAAUGGAUUUCUCUUCGUGGACGUAGACUCAAUGGUGAAUUCGAAUCACGUUAAAUAUUGUGUGUCGUUUAUCUUUCAUACUUGUGAUUUAUUUGUCAUUAAAUUAUUAUAUAUUUGAUGUGUCGAUAGUCGUGUGUUUUGCGCUUGGAUCCCUAACAAGUAGUAUCAGAGAUUCAGAUUGUGAGACUGGGCAAGUGAAUUUUUCUCGAAAUUGGAUUGAUGAAAAUUCUCUUCUUGAUGGUAGACCGAAAUGCUAAAAUGCUAAGAAAUUUGGCUAGUAUUGGACUAGGUGCGCCAUAAGUUUGGUAGGGGGUGUGAUUGGUGUUAGACUAAGGAGUCAAGGGUUGGCAGGGCUUCAAAAUUCAGUUUGGAUGUUGAAAAAAAGUGGAUCCAUAAUUAGAAGAAAAUAUGACUUUAGGUGUUAAGGUGAGAUUGCAUUGAGUAUUAAAGUAGAUUUGGAGAAAAACUUAUAAAUUUGGGUUUAAUGUGAGAGGUUACUAAUGGGUUCGGAGAAGAGAUUGUAAACUUGGGCUUAAUGUGAGGGGUUACUCAUGAAGGGAAAAAUUUGUUAAAUUCAUGAGUAAAACAUUAUAUCCCAUAUUGGUUCGAGAGAUGGAGAAAGAACACUUAAUAUGUAAAUAAGAGUCCAAAACCUAAUAGUUUAAACUUUUGUGUCAGAAUUGAAUUUUUGACUUAUACAUUGGGCUCUUUGAUGGACUCUCUCAAAGUGUUUCUCCCUAACAUACCUGUCCGCAUUCCCUCUACCCUUAGCACACAUUUUCCCCCAAUCCUAGUAAUUAGUAGUUCAAAUUUAAUUGAGACGUAUGUUUAAGUAUAAUAGAUACACAAGUAAGUAUUCAAGCAGUCGAUACAUUUCAUAGAUUAAAGAAGGGUAACCGACUCUACUAGUCCUUAAACUUUUAAGCAAAACUUUGCAGUCCCUAAACUCAAAUCCUCUAACCAAAUACUUGGAAAGAAAAUUCUCUUCUAACUUUUCAGAAGUCAUGUGCUAGUCUCAAUUUUGUGAUCAUUAAACAAAUCUGUCAUUCAUGACAAUUGAUGAAGGAUUCCUCGAAAAGUUAAGAAAAGAAACUUAUAGUACUUGGAAAAUAUGUUUAAGGUCCCUUGGGUUGUAAAAAAGAUCAACAUUGCUUAGGCUAUCAAAGAGAAAUCAGCCAAAGUAAUAGAAGUUGUUUUCUGGAUUUUCUUAACCAGCUUCUAAUCUCUACUCCACCUCUGCAACCAAUAUCUUUCUUUGGAAAUAAAUUGGAAUCAUAUUCGGCAAUGUCUAAAGUUUAUUUUGUAUUGAAUUCUAAUAUUUCACACAUGCACGAAUUAUGCACGCCUCAACCUCUUUCUUUAUUCUUCUUUUUUUUUUGGGAAAAACUCUUCAAGCAUGUGUACCAUAAUGUACUUUAGUAUAUACAUCACUAAAUACACAUGUACUUAAUAGUAUAACAAACAACAAAAUGGUACCUUCUCUGUCCUAAUUUCCAGUGUCAUAUUUUGAGAAUCUAAUUUUUCAAGAAUAGUGCUUUCAUUGUGAUGUUUGUACUUCUUUUUUCAGUUGUACCUCUUUAAAUCUAAAAUUCAAACUUAAAUGUAACAUGCAUAUUGUGAGAACCCGUAAUUUUUUUUCAUUUGUUAGGUUUUAUAAUCUUUCUAGGCUUUCUUGUUUUCAAUGGCUUGUUUCUACACUUUCUGUAUCCGGAAAAUUUUCUAGAUUAUUUUUACGAGUAAAUAUAGUUUUUAGAUGACUUUUCUAGUAUCGAAUAGAUUUUGAGAAAUUAAGAACGUAUAUCGGACGUGGGACCCACUAGUGCGAAAAGUUUGGAAAAAUUCGGCCAAUUAGGUUAAAUUCCGGAUACUGUGUAAAAUUUAUCGGGUGUUAAGAGAUAAGUAGAGUGUGUGAAAUGAUUGAUGUGAGAGAAAAGAAGUGAUAAGAUUGCAUUAAUGGAGUGCCAAGUGUCACACAACCAUUGGUUGGACUUUGUUGGCAACUAUUCACACUUUUGACUUUUGACCAAAUUGAGUAAAUAUCUUGAAAAAUUGCUCAAAAAUCACCAUUUCUUCUCCUCAUAUGGCCGGCUCUCUCUCUCCAAAAGGAAGCAAGAAACUCUUCAAGUUUUAGCUCCAAUCUUGCUCAAGGUGAACCAUCCAACCAUUUGAUCUUGCAAUUACUCCAUAAAAUCCCUUUAGUUAGUGAUAGUGAGUGAUUUGGUGAAGCUUUCUUGGAGAGCUAAGGUGUCCUACUACUUCUCUUCUCUUAAUUUCUUGGUAAGUGAUGCUUGAACACCCUACUACACCUAAUGAUGUUUAUGUUAUGCUUAGAAGUAGCUUGAGUGAUGGUAUAUGUGAUUUAUUUCUUGGUUUGAAGUGAUUUGGUUGAGUUUUUUAUUUUUUAGGAAUUUUCUGGUUUCAUAUGAUCUUGAUGGUGUGGUUGUUUUUGAUGGUUGGUAAUAAGGGGCUUUGACUCUAGUGGGUGUGAAUUGUUGAUAAAUGCAAUCAAUUUUGGGUUUGGAAGAAAUUCUGGAAAAUUAGGGUUCUUGGUUGAACAUUCUGUCCGAAAUUUUAGGUCAUAGAUAGAGGCCGAAUUGGACUUUUCUCAAAACAUGAAAGUUGUAGGUAUUGAUGAGUUUGAAGUGCCUACAAAAUUUCAGGUCAUUUGGAUUAGUAUAGAGUGAGUUAUACCGUUUUUACUGUUGCUAUUUUUGGUGAACAGAAUGUGCGAACUGCGAUAGUAAUUGUCUGUUUUGACUGGAAUUGGUUUGGAUUUGGUUGUUGGUGUCUUCUGAGGAAAUGUAACGUGAUGUCUUAUCUUUCAUGUGCCUUUGGAAUCAAUGCAAUUGGACCUGUGUAGGCUGAGAUAGACGUAUUACAGUUUUGUGUGAUUUGGGAACCUGCAAUUGCGGUUCAGGUUGUGGUAUUCUGCAUUUUCGAUCUAGUUGUGCUAGGAUUUGGACUGAGAGGCCUUCUACAUUGUUGUAGCCCUGUUUCAUAGCUUCGAAAUGGUGGGUCUUACACCCCCAACCGAUAAUUGUAGUGAGAGUUGUGCCAUUACCGCAUUAUGACGUCAAAACCGGUUUUCUUAUCAAGGCCUACAUUAAAGCCCUUUCUUAAUUUCUGGUUGCCUAUGAUGCUUAUUUAUGCAUAUGAAACCCUAUUAGGGUUAAGAUUGGUAUGGCUUUAUGACUCGUUAUCGAGUCUCCAUGUUUUUGUUUGCAUGUUUAGGGCUCGCUCUCAUUCCGGUCUUUUCCUAGCUAACUUUUGUACUUGUACUACUUUGAGCCUAGUGAGCGGCUUUUGGGAAAUGAGAUGACUUUUGUGUGAGGUUUUGGGACUGAUUUGAGGAAAUCACGAAGCCUUAAUGGCUGGAAAAGUAAGAAAUUUAGGGGAAAUGCUGUCCGAUUUUCUAGGCCGUUUGGUUCUUUAAGUUGGAUUUGCCUUUUGAUGGAAAUGAAGGGCUUUUGGGUUGUUGACCCUAGGUCUUCAUGUUAUCUUUUGUUUCCAAGAAAAUCAUGUUUUUGCACCCUUGCAUUAGUAUUUUUGGGCAAGGCGUACGACGUGUAGUCGAGCCUCACUUGUGCAUUCCGUUUACUCGAUUUUGGAUAUGAAACCUUCAAUUGGUUUAUUUUGGUUAUUUUAGGGUUUCUUGGCGAUUAAGGCCAAUCUGAAGUGAAAACUUUUGAAGUUGAGCCGGUGAGUGUACCACUCCCCUCCAUUGCUAUUUAACUUGAUUUCUGCUCUGCAAUCUGUUUAUUUGUUCGAGACGAGGGUGUACUUUAUCACACUCGUUCUCUAGUCUGCUCAUAUGCCAAUUUACUAUGCAAAAAUUUGAAUCUGUUAUCUGUGUCUGCAUCUGUUCGGAUUUCUGUUCGGAUUUCUAUGACCUAUGAGCUCAAUCCUGUGGCUAAGUUAUUCGAGUCGGGCCGGCAAGGGCCUGGACGAUUAGAUAACGAACCACGGUAGUCUGUUCGGGGAUUUUGGGUAUUGAGACCCUUGAUUCCGGGUAUACUCGAGUAUUACCAUUUUGUUCGUUUGAGGUGAGCGGGCCCGGUAAAGGGGUGUUUGGUGGACGGAAUUCAGUGAUAAGAGGGGUCUACGGACGCAUUGGUUCUAUAUACGUUGACGGAGAGUCAACCGGUUUGGAUCAAGUAUUGCGCUGGAAAUUUGGCUCCUGAGAGCCACCCGUAUCCUUCUGAUUUGAAUCAUUGGUUCCUUUGCUUUACAUCUGACAUGUGUAUCUGAUUUGUUAAAUGUGAAAUGCCAUGAUUUUAAUGCUAUCUGUUUGGUACCUCAUUGAGCGCAAGCUCACCCCUUUCCGUUCCUUUUGUUUUCCUUACAGGAAAAUAAACCCUUUUUGUCUGGAUUUGACAAAUGGCUGCCAAAUUGAGCUAGUUGAACAUAUCUUUUGUAUAGCUCAUGUAUUAAAACCCUAAGUGUACUUUUGGGGCGUUUUCUCUUUUGAUUUGGCAAACCGUGUGUAUAUAUUAACUUUUGAAAACUUUUGUAUGUCAUUUUGAUUUGUAAACGCUAAAGUUCAGAUGUGAAUGUUUGUUGGCUAUUUCGGUUGGGUUCUGACGGGUCGGUCACUAUUCAUGGCCGACUUCGGAUUUCUUUUUUUAAAUUUUGGGUUAUUUUACCAUUUUGACUCGUUUACGCUCGUUCGUAAGUUCCGGAUCGCUAUAGAUAGUUCUAGUCUGCAUCGUGAGUCCUGGCGAGAGUUGGGCAGGCAGUCCGCUCACCCCUUUGGUUCGCCUUAGGGGAAAGUGGGGCUGUUAGACAUAUAAUUUAAGUAAGGGACAAUCUUAGAAAAAGAGUCUAAAAUUUUUUUUGACAUUCUCAAUAUGAAAAAUAUUUUAAAAUAAAAAGUAUGACACUUUUAAUGGAACAAAAGUAGGAGUAUAAGAUAAACCAAAAAUGAUAAACAACUAACAACAAUGGGACGCACCCUUUCUAUUUUCUCCUCUACACAUGUAUAAGCUCAAAUUCUUCUCAAAGGAAGUAUCAAAAGCUUCACACGUCAUAGUGCUUGCAACCAAAAGAUGGCCAAUUUUUUAUCCCAUGACUAGAUUAUUGCAUAUUGCGCGAAAAAAAACUUACACCCAAUCUUCAAGUUCACACCAUAUUGCAGCCAUAGGCCCAAAAGCAACAUUUUCAUGCAGGAUUGACAAUAAAAUCCAGCCCCAGAUGAUAUUAGAUUGCAUACGCCUUUCCACUGCUAUCAAUAUAUAUAUCAGGAUUAACAUCAACAUCAUUAGAAUUCAAGCUAUCUAUAUAAUCACCCAUCAAGUCCACGAUAUACAGGCCAACGGGUGGUAUAGUGGCCUUACGUAUUAUCUGCAUGAUAACAUCUAAACUCUACAUUGGCUAGUCAGGUUCUACAAACUAGUUGCUCAUGCUACUUUCAUCCAUCAGAUCCCUAUAGGAUCUCCAAGAAAGAUCCUUGAUAUCACAUGGAAGAGUCCUCAGAUAUUGCACAUUAUUGUUGGCGUAGUUUAACAAAUCUUUGUGACAGUUGAUUUUUCCUAUUUGAAUUUUGGAAGUUUUGGUUUUAGUAAGCUCUAGUAAUUUAGUUGUUUAGAGUAUGGAGAGACUAAUUGAUAGUUUUUUGUUUUGAGAGAAAAAAAUCAUGAGAAGCUGAAAUGAGUUAUUGCGAAGAGAGUUCUAGCUAAUAUUUAUGUUAGUCUCAACAAAAGAGUUGAAUAUAUACUUUAUUUCUAUGAUUAAUAAUAAAUUCAUGUUCUCUCACAUUUGUAUGAGUGAAUGGUCAAAAUGGUUUCUAAACUAUUCAAAAUGGCAUCAUUUGGUCACUAAACUUUUUUUUGGCUAAAAAGGUCAGUGAACUUGAAAAAAAAAUGCGUCAUUUGGGUCAAUUUGUCAAUUUUUACCGGUGAACCAUUCGGUAAAAUGGGUUACUCAGCUAGAAGAAUAUUUUCUCAUGGAUAAAAAUGUCCCAAAAAAAAUAUGACCUUAAAUCUCUUCUAUCUCAAUUUCUUCAUCGCAAUCACAACUAUUCAUCAAAUUUGACAUCAGAAAGAACAAGCAGAUGGAACAUUAUAGCUAUGCCUUUGAUAAACCUUUCCCAUGACGAAAUUGUUAUAUUCAGCUAUAUGAGAAAUGAGAAUUUUCAGAACUCCUCGACUUGGUGCUCUGCUAAACCUUUUAUUCAUAACCCAACAUUUCAUCAUCUUGUGCCACUUCAUGACGUAUGUAGAUGCCAAUAGCCUUUGUAGACUUAGCAAUAGCUACAACCUAAAUUCAAUGACAAAGCCCCAAAUUUGGUAGAGUGGGAAGGAAGGGAGAGGAACUGUGGAAAAGAGGGGAGGGGAAGGGAAGAGAGAGAGUAAGGUGAUGGAAUUGUGCAAUAGUGAAGGUGGGUGAUGAAGUAGAAAGAAGAAGAGAAGGAUGCUACUGGUGAUUUUUUUAUGUUAUUUUUUUGGUAAUAGUGAAGGUGGGUAGUGAAAAAGAAGAAAGAAGAAGAAGAAGAAGAAAAGGAAUCAAUCUACUUUUAGAUCUAAGGCAUGGUUUGCGAGAAAAAAUAAGGUUGGCCAUAUUUUUUGGACAUUUUUGUCCUCGCACAAAUAUUGCUCCAAUUAAGAUACCAAUGUAACCGGAUGAUUCACCGGUAAAAUUGACAAAAUAACUUGGACGUCACAUAUUUUCCAUUCUAGUGACCUUUUUGGCCAUAAAAAAAAGUUAUGGUAAGCAAUGCCAUUGUCAAUGGUUGAGUGCUCAUAGAGGUAUUUAUGUAUCGCCUACCAACACAGCUCUCAUAUCAAUAGUGGGAUUCAAAUACAUGACCUUUUGUGAAAAAGUGGCCCGUCCUUGCCAACUAAGCCAACUUGUGUUGGCGUUGGGACAUUAACUAGGUUAUCAUAAGAUACCUGGUUCAUUUCUCAAACGUUUGCCUUUUUCCCUUUCUCCUUAUAAGUCAUGGAUUCCCUCUUGAACCAACAAAAAAUCCUCUGUGCAUUUUAUGUGCCAACUAUCCAGAAUUCUAAAUUGAUCAUUUAAUAUUCUAUUUAUUAUCUUCUGGAUGAGUUUUGGUUUCAUCAGGAUCUUUAAAUGGAUAAGAGGCAACCAACACGACAUAUAAUUUCACCCACAUGACCAUAUAUAUGCUAUCUUGCUAUCAUAUAUAUUCUUGCUUGAAUAAAACAUUAGCACGGAUAUAAGAAGGCGUUUCCACUCAAGAUUGUAUAUCUUUGAGUAAAUUUUAGAAGCCCCUUGUGGUUUCACCAAAAGUCAAUCAGCCACCCUAUGAUUCAAAAUUAUCCACAUAACUUUCUUGUACUUUAAAAUGAUAGGAAAUUCCACACUUAACCUAUAUGUGACCUGCAAAUGAUGUGUUAUUAUUAUUUUUUAAAUAUUUUUUACUUUUCUUUUUGGUGCUCAAAUUACUUUAAUUUAACUAUUAUGGGUGUUUUUACAAAUUUUAAAACUUUUGAAACAUUUUUAAAAUUUUUAAAAAUUAUCAUCAUCCAUCUUCCUCUUUUCUCUUCCAUCCUCUCUCUCGACUCGCUGCCAUCACCCUCCGCCAACCAACACCAUUUGCCACCAACCUUUUCUCUUCUUUUACCACCCCACUUCCCCCUUCUUCCUUCACUUCCUCUUUCCCUUCUCUCCUUCUCUUUCCUCCUUUUCUCUCUCCACUUUCCCACCCCCUCCCCCUUUAUCCCUUUCCUCCUCUGCGAUCAGAUCUCUAGAGAAGAGAUCUGGCUCGCUAGAGAGAAGAUCUGACUAGAUCUUGUUGCAACCAAGGAUCUGGUCGCUAGGAAGAAGGGGGAUAAAGAGGGAUGGACGGGAAAGUAUGGGGAAGAAAGAGGGGAAUGAAAAAGAGGAUGAGGGAAGAGGAAGUGAAGAGAGGGGAGAGAAGAUAAGAGGGUGAUAGAGGAUGACAGUUGAUGGUGGUAAAAGGAAGAUGGAGGUAGUGGUGGUAGUGGUGUAGUAGUGGUAGUUGUAUGGUAAUGGAGAAAUAAAGAAAGAGGAGAAAGUAAGAAAAAUGUAAAAAAGAAAAGGAAAGGAAAACACAACAAAAGGAGAGGAAAAAAGAAAAGGAAAGGAAAAUUUAAAAAAAAAAGAUAUAAUUAACAAAAAAGGUACCAUGUAUUUUACCCUAUUUCUUUUGUUGGAAUUAAUCUUCUUUCCUAAGAUUUUUUGUUGAAAGAUUAUUCUCUUUUAUAAUUUCCUAGUGAGAUUUCUUCUUCGAAUAUCCUUCUAGUAAGAGUUUUGUCAUCUCUUAUGAUUUCCUUAUAUGAAUUCUUUUUUUUUUUUUUGUGAAAUCGAAGAAUUUUUAGGCUAGAUCUAAAGUUUCUCACAUCUAUUAUGUCAUAUCUAAAUAGUUUUUCCUUGGGUUUGAAAUAUUUUUUUUUAGAUAUGACUGUUACAACAUGUGAACAAGUCUAUUUGGCUGCUAUAAUCAAUCUCAAUAGAAGAUAUUUUGAUGUUUCAAUUUUAUCUUUAUCUUUAUUAGAUUUUUAAAUCCCUUGUGUACAUUGAUUUUCAAAUUCAUAUGCAUUCAUUGCAAAUUUGAUGUACUUUUUAUUAUUAGUGUCUAUUUAAUGCAAUUAAAUUUUGUUUUUGAUCGAAAAAUGUCAGUUUUGAUGAUGUUGAUAAGAAAUGAAUUAUGAUAGAUAAAAAUUUUUGUAGCAAAACUUUAAUUCCAUCUUUUUGGAUGUUAUUCUCUUACAUACAUAUAAGCUUAGUACUUUAUUGAUAGGGGAAUACAAAUUCUUACUUACAUUCGAAUUUUAGAAAAUAUCAUCCUCCAUAUGUUCUUUCCCACUGACUCCGAAUACGUUAGCUUCAGGUCCGCGAGCCAGCCAAGAAAAGUGUGAUAGAAUUUGAGUGAAUCCUGGUUUCAAAGUUUAUUGUCAUCAUCUGAUUCAACUAACUACCAUUUUAAUGGAUCAUUUGCAAAAUUAACUUGAUUAGCCAAUUCAAGAAGUUAAGUUGCUGAAAAAAUUAAUAAAAAUAAAAAGCAUCAUCUUUUUUUAAUUACUUUUUUAUCCUUUCACCUCUCGCCACAUUUUUCAUCCCCAACUGCCAGACACAAGAAAAUAUCAUCCUUAGUUGAAAUAAAAAACACUUAAAAAGGGCCUUAUCUUUAGUUGAAAAAAAAAUUAGUUGACCAACUAGAACGAAUACUGCACGUAUGUGAAUUGGAGGGUAAGGAUUAAAUUUACACCCAGCAUUCUAAAUUUCUAUCUUGAAUGCACUAGUAACUUGUACCAUUGGUACUAAUAACUUCUAGCUUGAGUUUUAAAAUUUCCACAAGUUGUGGAUUGAAAGUGGAAAAGUGUGAACUUUGUCCAUCCUAGGUAUGAAUUACGAGAACCUAAUUUCUUAACUUUCAAAGUCAUUGUUUUUCCUUGAACUAUUUCUGACUAAAUCAUCUCUUAGGAAUGCAACAAUCUCUUUGAUAAAAGUCCAGAUUUCAUAGGCAGAUCCGUGAAUCAUCAACUGCCAAAGAGAUCCAGUAUCAACAAAGAUUGGGAUUUUUUUGCGUGUUUUCUUGUCAUUUGCUAGUAAAGCUAACAACUUGUAUAAAUAUUGUAAAGGAUGGGAAACCCGGAAACCAUGUCGGGACCAUCUAAGAAAGGUGAGAAUGGUAUAUAAAGGGAAGUUGUGACCAAAUAAUUGGAGAAGGCAAAGCCGAUUCGUAUGGUGGGUUGAAAAAAGGCUGUAAAAUCUGAAAAGUGAAAGAAACCAAAGAGAUCCACUAUCAAUUAUGUGGAUAUAUUGGCCAUCUCAAUCUCUUUUGACUCCAACUUAUGAUCAUAUCUGUCAACAUGGGAAGAAAAGAGAGAGUGGCAGAGCUUGUAAAGGAUGGCCAGCGAGAGGUAGAGAGAGAGGGAAGAGGACGACGUACGUUUUUUUUUUUCCUUCUUGGGUUUAAUUUGAUGGAGUAUUUAAUUUAUUUUUACUUUGAAAUGGGCUAAGUGAGGAUAAGGUUGACAGUGCUCAAUUUAUUACUCUAUGGGUCUUUCAAUCUAUGGGAUUGAAAGACCCAAAAGUGAGUAAUGACCAAUCCCAUAGAAGUGUACCAAACAAAAGUGGUAAAUGUCAAAUACUUAUUUUUAUAUGGAUGGUUAAUGUACCAACUUCAAUUAAGAAUUAUUGAUUCGUACGUUCUCAAAUCUAAAUUAAAUUCACAAUCAAGGAACGUGGCAAUUUUAUUAAGAGUAAAAAUUACUUUUCUAAUAUACAAUGAUUUAUUACGUUUCAUGUUCUUCAUUCAGGUUAGUGGUAAAGAAAAUGACCUAUUAAAUGAUAUUUAGAUGGUAGUUUAACCAUUUUGCACCAUUUAAACAUGCGGCCUUUCAUUUGUGUUAUAAGUUAGAUUAGUAAUUACAAAUCCCAUGUGGCUUCCUUGUAUCUAGAGGUGGCAAAAUGGGCGGGAUGGGCGGGAUUUGCUUGGGUUUAAGAUGGAACCGAGUCAUAUGGGUUUGGGCCCAACCUUACCCAUAUAUGUUUUGGGACUAACUUGGGCGGGAUCACUUUGGGAUGGGUUUAGAUUGAUCCCGCCCAAUACCCAAAUCUAUUUUCUACAUAUUUUUUUCCUUUAAUUUAUUUUUUAUUUUUUUAAUAUAAUUUUAAUAUUUUUGAUUUAUUAAAUUUCUUUUAGUUUUAUUAAAUAAACAUGCAAGUGCUUUAUACUCAGGAUUAUCACCAAAAAUUGGAUUAACAAAUAAAGGAAAAGAUAGAUAUACAAUCAUGACUAUAAAAAUUGUUAAAAAUAAUUUUUGAACCUAAGACUUCGUUUGGAUUGGCUAUUUUUUCAAAAAAUAAGUUUUUCAAAUACAAUGUUACAGUGAUAUACAAUAACUCAAAAAACAUCACAUCCAUAUUAGUAUAUCAAAUAUUUCAAAAAAAUUUUAUAGUAAAAAUUUUUCAUAUACACUACUACAAUAAAAUAUUUCAAAAACAACCCCCAAAAAUAGUUAAUCCAAACGGAGCCCUUGCUAUUUGAGCCCAAUGGGUACCCAAGCAUUUUCCAAAAUUUCCCAUCAAUUAAUGGGUACAAUUGGGAUUUGUCCCAUUUUAAACCCAAUAUCAAAUUCCAAUACCCAUCCCGCCCAAAGUCUCAAUGGGCAUGGGUAACCCAUUGGGACUUGGGACAAAUUGCCACCUCUACUUGUAUCCUUCCCCUUUUGGCUUAAAUUGAUGCGGUCACAUGAUUUGGAAAAUUAUAUAAUAGCACUGUGGAAAACAACAACAUUGGGCAAAAAUACUGACCGUUUUGACAUUUAUGCACCUAAACUUUAUUGUCAACAAAGUCUUUUUAUUUUUCCAUAAUUCGCCUCAUUCGGUUGUCACGAAAGCAGCUGCAUUUCAAUAACCAUUUGUUCCUCUUCAUACAGUUUAAUCGUCCAAAUCUGUUCUUCACCCAUGUUGCCACUAUCCAUCCUUUAUUUUCAAAUUGGAAUUACACAUGAUCCCAGUUCAAAUUGCAUUCUGCAUUGAAUUCUUGCUACUCCACAUGUAAACCAUCUACCUCGACAUCCUGCAAUUGUAGCAAGGAAGAUCAUAAAAAGUGGUUCAUCUGGUAAAACAUUUAUAUUAGCGAGAAAAUUAACAAUUUUUGUUUAUAUCGUAACUAACUUGGAGCUUAAACUGCCUACGCUUGUGAUACUAUUCCAUUGGCACAAAAGCGAGCACCUAUAAUUGAGAGUUACUAGGAUUGAGAUUUUUGGUUUUUUUUUUAUUGUGGGAAUUGGUAUAGGAAAGUCAAAUUUUUUUCAGAAAAUUCUGAAGUAUAAACAGUUUAUAGGACUGUCCUUCUCUUCUGAUGUAUAAACAGUUUAUACGAUUUGACAUGGUUAGUUAUUGCAUUUGUUGCAAAGCAAACCACUUUUGAUGUAAAGUCAAUACACUUUGGAUGUAAAGCAAACCAUUUUUGUUUUUCUUAAAAGAAAUCCAAUAUUUAUAGUCAAUCAAAAGGAAUGAAAUAUUCUAUAAUUUUGUCUUAUAAAUGUGUCAUUAAAUUAAAUGUAUAUAUCCUUUUGCUAAUUUAUUUAGGAAUACUAAUCACUACUAAAAAAUAGAAAAUCGUAGAAAGCAAUUUUUCUUUUGCAUAUUACUAUUAUUUGAUAGUAUGAUUUAUGAAAAUAUUCAAUCACGUGCUUUGCACGUGAUAUAUUACCAUUACCAUAUAGAAAUUAAACACAAAAUUCUAUUAUCUAAAUAAGCAUGGCUAUAAAGUCAUUAAGCCUAAUAAAUUUAACUCGACAAAGUCAAAGCUCAAUUUGACUAAACACAUUUAUAGGCCUCUAUUUUGGCAUCUUAAAAUCAAACUUAAAAAAUGGAGGGUUCUAUGUUAUUAUUUAGUAGUAAUAUUUUAGUCAAAUCAACUUUUUAGUAGUUUAUUGGAGUCAAAUUAUGGCAUUAUUUUGGAAGUAACAUUAUGUUAAUUAAUUUAUUAUAGUUAUCAAAACUUGUUUACCAAAUCAUUUAUUCUAUAAAUAGGGAAUCUUAUUAUAGUCAACAAUUAAGAAGAGUGAAGAGUAAAGUUUGAUGGAUUUGCUUUUAUAGUGUUAUUGAUAUUAUAUUGUUGAUUUAUUGCUUUUAUGUUUUUAUGUAUGUAAAUUGCUUCCCCAUUAUAUAUUGAUUUUAUAAAAUUUAUCUCCUAUAGCUUCUUGGUGAAAAUUUUUGAAGCAUACAUCUAGUAUCAAACAUUGGCACUUGUCAAUGUCUUACCACAAAUUGCAUGAUCAAACACCAAUGAUGAUUUUACUUGCUUAUUGUUGAGUGUGUCUUUGUAUCCCACAUUGAAAUUUUUAUAAAGAAGUAUCUACUCUUGGUAGUUAUAAAUAUAGUGGACUUAAGUGCAUUUAAUUGUACUAAGGGUACCAACCCAAGUACUAUCUGCACUAGUUUAAGAGAGUUUUAGGGGACCCACGCCCCUGUCUAAGAGAGGUUUUGGUUAGGCAUCAAACUAAAAGAGUAAGUUAUAGACCUUUAAGCCGUUAAACAUUUAGUGCUAUUUAGACUCUUUUGCAUUUUCAGUUUUAGGUGCCUUUUAAACUUAGGAAUUAUUUUCUAGGUUUUGUACUCUCUCUUUUGUACUAUCUUUCUGUUAUAGUAAAUCUGUUAUCUCUUCAUUUGUGGACGUAUGUCGAUUUGACCGAAUCACGUAAAUUUUUGGAUUUCUCUGUUUGAUUUAUUUGUUUUGUUAUUGUUAUUAUUGAGUUGCCAAAAACCCUAAUAUUUUCUUUGGUCAAUUUCCUGGGGCCAGACCUAACAAAUUGGUAUCAGAUCUUCAGAUUUUGAGUUCUUGAUGACAAUAACAGGUUUUGGGUGCUAUAGAAAGUGAAAAAAAAAAAGAAAAUUUUCCAUUGGAGUUCAGUUGGGUUUUGAAGGAGAGUUAUUUGGCCUGUUGGAACUCGUCGAGGGUUUUGAGAAGAAAGUGGAGUAAGAUUACUAUGUUCGUAGUUUUUAACCUGUUGGGAUCUGUUGAAUCUUUUAUGAGUUUUACCCCGUUGGGACCUAUUGAGCCUUUUGCACCUUGGUUUGUUGGUGGCUCGUUGUAGUUCGUUGAGACUUUUGUGGUUUGUUGAGAUCCGUUGGAACUUUUAUGAAGAAGGUAGAACUUAUUUGCUAUUUGUCUACUAUUUACCGAUGUUGGAUACACGCCAAGGUGGAGAUUUGUUGAGUGUGUCUUUAUAUCCCACAUCGAAAUUUUUAUAAAGAAAUAUCUCCUCUUGGUAGUUAUAAAUAUCGUGGACUUAAGUGAGUUUAAUUGUGCUAAUGGUACCAGCCCAAGUGUCGUAUGCACCAGUCUAAGAGAAUUUUAGAGGACCUACACCCCAGUCUAACAGAGGUUUUGGUUAGACAUCAAAUCAAAAGUGCAAGUUAUGAGCCUUUGGGCUGUUACGCAUUUAGUAUUAGUUAAACUCUUUUAUGUUUUCAAUUUUAGGUACCCUUUAGACCUAUGAAUUAUUUUCUAGGUUUUGUACUCUCUCUCUUUUGUACUCUCUUUCUGUUAUAGUAAAUCUGCUAUCCCUUUACUCGUGAAUGUAGGUUGAUUUGACCAAACCACAUAAAUUCCUAUGUUUCUUUGUUUGAUUUAUUUGUUCUGUUAUUGUCAUUAUUGAGUUGCCAAUCAUUCUAUUAUUCUCGUUGGUCAAUUUUUUAGGACCAAACCUAACACUUAUCACUCAGCUACCUUAGUGCUAGUUCACUCCCAACAUAUUUAACACUACCGUGUACCAAAAAUUUCGGAACAUAUAUCAUCAUCUAGCCCAGGACUAGCUUCCACUUUCUUGCCUUCUCUUACUAAUUUUUUUUUGUAAUUUCCUAUUCACAAGGAAGGCUACUAUCUGCCCCAACUUCAGAUAUUUCUUUACUAGAAGCAGAUGGAUUUACAAUAUAAGUACUGGAAGUAGCAAAAGCCAUUUGGAUCCCCUUCUCCAUCAGAUAGGUGAUUAAAUCAUUUGGUGUUUACUGCAACAGCAGAGCAUGAUGGUUCACUUUUGUCUGCAAUGGAGAUGGAACAUAAGUGUUUCCGACUAGCUAUGAGAACAGUAAAUAUGAGGACUUCAGAAUCAUCUUCCCUCACAUAUUUGUAUGUGUUAAAUAUCGUCCUUGAAGACCCAACUACUUAACUAGUUGGGAUAUUAACUAGGUUAUUAUAAGAUACCUAGUUCGACUCUUAAACCUUCCCAUUUUCCUUUUUCUCCUUAUAAGGUUUGGGGUCCCCCUUGAACCAACAAAAAAUCCUUCGUGUGUUUUAUGUGCCAGCUAUCCAAAAUUCUGAAUUGAACAUUUAAUAUUCUAUUUAUUGUCUUCAGAAAGAGUUUUUGUUCAUCAGGGUCCUUAAAUGGAUACGAGGCAACCAAUAUGGCAUAUAAUGUCACCCUACAUGACCACAUAUCUGCCAUCUUGGUAUCAUAUUCUUGCUUGAAUAAAACCUCAGCAGUGAUGUAAGAAGUGUUUCCAUUUCAGACUUUAGCUGUGAACGUAGCAAAGAGGACUUGAAGUACCCAAAAUCACAUCUUCAAAGGUAGAGAUGGGCUUCCGUCUAAUAAUAAUGUAUUUUCUACCUAUUAGUCACGAUGACGCACUUUCAUUGAAUGGCAGUAGCUGUCUCCAGAUAUAAGUUGCUGGAAAAAAAAGAGCCUCAUCCUCACUGAAGUGCCCUGGGGUUACAACUUCAUUGAAAAAGCACUCCAAUAGAAGUAUAUUCCAUGAAAAUAGGCAAAUCGGUUGCCAUCAAAAUCACCAUUUUGAAUCUAACAAUUUUUUCAGAUGCCAUAAAAUCUAUGUUCAUUAAUCUGCCUGUUCACAUUUUACAACCAGCUCUUUGGUCGGCUUAUCUCUAACAAGUCUGGCCAUGUCCAAAUUACCUGACCUGGUAUCCCUCACAAAAUCAUAGUACUUAAUGUUGUCUAUAAAACUUAUUUUCUCCUCUUGUUUGUAAAACUUUUCCAGCCAAAGCCUGAUUUAACUCUUUUAUGUAAGGAGAUUGAAUCUGGCCUUUCUAUAUAGGAAACUCUCUUGAGAUUUUGUUUCUUUGGGUAAAAUAUAGAAAACCCUUGUAUUUUCACCGAAAGUCAAUCAGCCAUCAUAUGGUUUCGAAAUAUCCACAUAACUUUCUUGUGCUUUUACCCAUAACCUAUAUGUGACCUGCAAGUGAUCUAUUAUUAUUUUUUUAAAAUAUUUUUUACUUUUCAUUUUUUCCUUUUCUUUUUGGUGCUCAAAUUACUUUAACUUAAAUAUCAUGGGUGUUUUUACAAAUUUCAAAACUUUUGAAACACUCUUAAAAUUUUUAAAAAUUAUCAUCCUCAAUCUUCUUCUUCCUAUCCCAUCCUUCCUCAUUACCACUGGCCACCAUCAGCCAACGCCGUCUGCUACCACCCUCUUCUCUUCUUUCCCCAUCUCCUCACUUCCCCCUUCCUUUUCCACUUGCUCUUUCCCCCCUCUCCUUCUCUCCUCCUCUUUCCCUCUCUCCUCUCCCCACUUUCCCACCUUCCCCUUCUAUUCCCACCUUCCUGAUGAAUAGAUAUCUGGUCGCAGCAAGAUUUGGCCAGAUCUCCUCUCUAGUGACCAGAUCUAAUUGCCAGGGAGAAGCGGGAUAGAGGGAGAGAGGCAGGAAAGUGGGGAAAUGAGAGAGGGAAAAGAGAAAGAAGUUGAGAGAGGAGGAAGUGGAGAGAGAGGAGAGAAAAGAAGGGGGUGGACAAGGGUUGCAGAUGGUGAUUGUAGGAGGAAGAUGGAGAUAGUGGUAGUAGUGAUGUAUUAGUGGCGGUCGUAUGGUAGUGGAGAAAGAAAGAAAGAAAAAAUUAGAAAAGAAAAGAAAAGGAAAAAUGAAAAGGAAAGGAAAUUUUUUUUAACAAAAAAGAAAAAUUAACAAAAAGUGGGCUACUGAUACCACAGCAGAUCAAAAAACACUAAUUCCACUUUAGUAUGAAACACAAGGGACUGUGUGAAUAUUUUGAAACCACAAGACUACUCAUUGACUUUCAUCAAAACCAUAAGAGAUUUUUCCUAUUUCUUUUGUUGGAAUUAAUUUACUCUCCUAAGUGGUUUUUAGUGAGAGAUUCUUCUCUUUUAUAAUUUUCUAAUGAGAUUUCUUCUCUCCAAUAUCCUUCCAGUAAGAGUUUUCUCUUCUCUUAAGAUUUCUUUAUGUAAGUGUUUUUUUUUUAAAUCUAAGAAUUUUUAGACCAAAUCUAAAUUUUCUCACUUCUAUUAUUCAGAUCUAAACAAUUUUUUUUGGGUGAAAUAUUUUUCAUUAAAUAUAACUGUUAGAAAAUCUGCACAAAUCUAUUUGGCUGCUAUAAUUAAUCUCGAUAGAAGAUAUUUUGAUGCUUCAAUUUUAUCUUUAUAUUUAUUGGCUUUCUAAAUAUGUUGUGUAUGUUGAUUUUCAAAUCUAUAUGCAUUUAUUGGAAAUUUGAUGUAUUUUCUAUUAUUAGUGUCAAUUUAAUCCAAUAAAAUUAGUUUUUGAUAAAAAAAAAUGAAUUAUCCAAUCGUGAUAAUGUUAGGAAAAAAAUGAAUUAUGAUAGAUAGAAAUGUUUGUGACAAAACUUCAAUUCCAUCUUUUAGGAUGUUAUUAUCUUACAUACAUAUAACUUUAGUACUUUUUUUUAAGUGAGAUGACUUGAGCCUAGUACUUUAUUAAUAGGGAAAUACAAUUCUUACUUAUAUUCGAAUUUUAGAAUACAUCAUCCUCCAUAUGUUCUUUCCCACUGACUUCUAAUGUGUCAACUUCAGGUCCACAAGCUGAUAAGUGUUUAUUAAUAGCAUUAUGUGUUUAUUUUUUGUAUAAAUUAGGGUUUUUAUGGUGUAACUUGCUCUCUAAGUCUCUAAAUUUGGCGAGUUUUGUUUGAGCAGUUUAAUGUGUAAAUUUUGGUUAUAUUUGCAAGAUUUGAGACAUGAUAUAAACAUUGGAUCGAGAUAGAUAUAUCAAAACUCCCUUCAUGCGUGAUUCAACGACAAUUUGGAAGGAAAAUAGGUCAUCCAAUGCAAGUAAUAUUGGUGCAAUGCAUGAACAAAAACAUGGACACCUUACUUGUGAUCUUAAUGUUGAAUUGGAGCAGAAAAGAAACAAGGAUUACUAAAGAGCAAACGCAGGCUCUGAAUACACUAGCUUAGGUCGCGUAUUCACCAAGUCGUGUUUUGUCCCCUAUUUCUCUGCAACUUGCCCUACUUUCACACCAUUUUCCAGUUCAAUUCCAGCACAGAAUUUCGGCUGCACAUACACAAGAAUCUUUAAGGAAGUGCAAAGGAAGCUUUAUGUCAAUUCAUUAGGCACUUUUUGACUCUCUUAAUACUAUAUAAUGUAAGAAUCAUUGGAAGAGAGAAAAGUCUUUAGUUAAUAACUUAAGAGCUUAGUUCUAGCUUUUUCUUAUUCUUUCUAGCUAGAAACUUGUAAAAAAAACUUGGAAAAUUCAUUGUACAACUCAUUUGCUGAAGAAAUAGAAGAUUUUGAGAGCUUGUUCAUUAUCUUGGCUAAAUUUUCUUUAUCUAUCUCUUUACUUGUGAUUCAAUAUGUGUUCAUGUAAUAAAAUUAUGUUCUUUCUUAUCUUAUAUCACAUGAGUAGCUAAAUUUCUAGAUCUAAGGAGUAGAUGAAGUUUAUGGUUACUUGAUAUGAGUUGAAUAUGACCUCUUGUAUUAACUUGUCCUUUUAUGCAUGCUUAUCACUUGUCGUUGCUUGAUCACCAAUACCAAGUUUUUAGUUGUUAUUACUCAAUAAAAAUUGGUAAUACUGAUGGAAUAACAUACAUGGAGCUUAAGGAGUAGACUCAUGAGAAUAAAUGUGCACUUGAGUGGAUUAUCUUUGCAUUUCAUGAAGAACAAAAGGUAGGUCUAGUUAUUCACCAUGAGAAUAAGGAAAACUAAGCUAGUCUAAGCCACUACAUCAUCAGAGUAAGUUUUGGUUAAUAUAGAAAUGAAUCCCUAGUUAAAUAAGAGCAGUACCAAGAGGUAAAUCUACUCUCUUGUAUCUUUUAUGCCAUAAGUGGAUUCUACGCCCUAAACUCAAGUAUUUAGUGGAUUUUCUCCUUUGUUCUCUUGCAAGUUAUCUAGUUAAGUAGUUAGUUAGGAAGUAAUUGUGAUUCCUUUUGCUUUCAUUGAUAAUUAAUCUAAAUAAUAGAGUAAGUAAGAAUCUAGUACUUGCAAUAUUUGUUCCUCAUAGGAUCGAUCCGAUAUAUGCCCUAAACUACUAAAUUGACCUAUAUACUUGCAGUAAAACGGGUGUAUCUUGGAAUUAAACUUGCACUUAUAUCAGAAACCCGUCAUGAGCCAGCCAAGAAAGAGAGGGGAAGGAAACAAUGAUAUAUUUGGCAGCUAUAUAAGAUUUUGGACAAAGACAUUCAAAGUGUAAUAGAAUUUGAGUGAAUCCUGGUUUCAAAAUUUAUUGUCAUCAACUGGUUCAACAAAUUAUCAUUUUAAUGGAUGAUUUGCAAAACUAACUUGAUUAGCCAAUUCAAGAAGUUAAGCUGAUGAAAAAAUAAUAAAAGUAAAAAUAAAAAAGAAAACAUCAUCCUUCUUUAUUUAUUUAUUUUUACCGUUUCACCCUCUCCACAUCUUUCUCAUUGCCAACUACCAGGCGCAAGAAAACAUCAUCCUUAAUUGAAAAGAAAAAUACUUAAAAAGAUCCUUAUCCUUAGUUGAAAAAAGAGUAUAAACAAAAUUAGUUGGCCAACUAGAACGAAUGUUGCACGUAUAUGAAUAGAAAUGUAAGAACUAAAUUUGCACCACACAUUCUAAAUUUCCAUCUCCAAUGUACUAAUAGCAUGUACCAUUGUUCCUAAUAACUUCUAGCUUAGUGUUAGUAUUAAAAUUUCUACAAGUUGUAGAUUGAAAAUGGAGAAAUGCGAACCUAGUCCAUCCUAAGUAUGAAUUACGCUUGGUACAAACUUAAUUAUACGUAGUAUUAUUAUACUAAAUGUAAGUCAAAUGCUUUUAUAUGGAUGAUUAGUGCAUCAACUUCAUUAAGUUUUGUUGAUUCGCACAUUCUCAAAGCUGAAUCAAGUGCAUACUCAAGCAACGUGGCAAUUUUAUUAAGAGUGAAAAUUACUUUUCUAAUAUACAUUGAUUUAUUACGUUUCAUGUUCUUCAUUUAGGUUGGUGGAAAAGAGAAUCAAUGACCUGUUAAAUGAUAUUUAGAUGGUAGCUUAACCAUUUUAUACCAUUUAAACAUGCGACCUUUCAUUGUGUUAUAAGUUAGAUCAGUAAUUACAAAUCCCAUGUGGCUUCCUUGCAUUCUUCCCCAUUUUGCUUAAAUUGUUGUGGUCACAUGAUUUGGAGCUUACAAGAUUGUAGGUUCAUUCAAUUUCUCGAAUUAUUUCACUUCCAUAUACAGUAAGUCUUUGCAAGCCUUUUAAAUUUACUAGUGGUACAAAUAAUAAAGGAAAUGACUAUUCGUUGAAAACCUCUUCAAAUUACAGCUAAUUACAGCUAACAUAUUUGUAUCCUGUCUGUGUAGAAUACAUGGGCAAGUCAAAACAUCAUUCAUUCAAGUAAACUACAUAAGAAUAUACUUUGCAAUAGUAAUAUGUAACACACAUACGGGUUCAAAACUUUUGCACAGUAAAGAAGGAUAAUUAUACAAUAACACUUUGGAAAACAAUAACAUUAGGAAAAAAAAUACUGACAGUUCUGACAUUUAUGUAUGCUCUUAAACUUUACCAUCAACAAAGUCUGUGUUUUAUUUUUCCAUAAUUCGCCUCAUUCGGUUGUCAUGAAAGCAGCUGCAUUAUAAUAACCAAUUUCUAUAUAUACUUUUUCUUACAGUUUAUGUGACGACUGGAAAAUUCGCUCAUAUUUUCUUAAAAUUCUCUCUUAUUUUGAUUAAAUUAUUUUAUAAUAUCUUUACUACUUAUUUACUCCCUCAAUAGUUACGAUAAAUCAUAGAAUCAAGGGUUGUACCUUUAGUUUUAUAGUUAGCGUAAAUCAGGGUUUUCAUGUAUUUUGGCGUGUGAUCAUUUGGUGAGGUGUAUGUACUAAAUUUGGUGGUUAAGAGUGAGUUUUGUAUAAGAAAAAGUGUGUGUUUAGAAGUAAUAAUAAUAAGUUAGUGAACCAUAAGUAAAAACACAAGUACGUGCGAGUUAAGGAAAAUAUGCUUGAACCGACGUGCACCGUUUGCUACCGAAUGAGUGCACCACUUAAACACUACUUUAUUACUUUAAUCACCUUAUUUUUAUUUCACCUAAUCCUUCCUAAAUUACUCCUUAAUCCAGCCAUCUUUGUUUACUAAGGAAAAGGAAAGAAAAGAAAAAAAAUGAGAUGGAAUCUUAUGGCGACACUUGGCGGAAAUCAAAAUCAACUUUGACUAAACCAAUUUUCCUUCUUUUUACCUUUCUUUUGGCUUCCAUUCUGCUCCAUUUUCUUCUUGUGGCCGAGCUUCAAGAGAUAAAAACAAACAAGAGAGAAACUAGCAACUUCCACCUUCAAUCAAGCUUGUUUGAGGGGAAUCGACGAAACUAAACCGAUUAACCUUUCCUUUUGGUACUUGAAAGACUUGGGGUGCUGAAAAUUUGGAGAGAAAGUGGUUUGUUUCUCACUUACAAGAGGCUUUGGGAAGGUAUCUUGCUUGAAUUUGCUUUACUCUUGUUAAUUUUGCUAAAGUUGGGGAUAGAAGUUCUUAAUCUUGGAUUUUGAUGGUUAAUGAUUCAGUUUUGGAUGAUCUAAUGGAAGAGUUAGUUAGGGUUUACAUUUUCAGCCUUGAUUAUGGUUGUCUACCUAGUAAUUAAUGGUAUUGAACUAGUAAUUGAUGGUUUUGAUGAUAUAGGACUUGAUAGUAUUGAGCUAGAAUAUAAAUUAUUAGAGUAGAAGUGAAUUUCCAGCUUUGAUGAUGAAUCUGCCCUGUUUUUUACCUACAUAUUCGUCCAGGAUAGAGGCUGAAUCAGGUCUUGCUCAAAACAUGAAAGUUGUAGGGAAUGGAAUUAACAAUCUGUUUGUAAAAUUUUAACUCAAUCGGAGUACUGUAACAUGUAAAAUAACUAAAAUACCCCUGACUGCCCAAAUGCCUGUUUAAUGGACAGCUUUCUGUUUUCUGCGAGAUUUCAAAUUUUGACCUUGAAAAUGCAGGAACUGGGUGUCUAUGUCUUCAUAGGAAAUGUAGAUCUCUGUCUUAUCUUCGAAACGCCAUAAAAUUUACCUCAAUCCGAUAGGCAUAGCUUCAACUGUGACCAAAACGCCGGAAGAUGUCAAACCUGUUACUUAGCCAUUCGUCUUUAAAAUUGGUUUCCAGCUUUGAUUUUGAUGGUUGCAUUGCUAGAAUUGCCUUGUGUUUGGAUGAAAUUGAGCAUAGUUGAAAGGCUAUUGUGUUAAAAUUGCUUAUGUGUGAAUUUGAUCUGAGUUGAGGAAAAUAAUGAAGUUUUAAAUGGCUGGAAAAUAGCUAAAUACAAAGGGCAUGCCGUCCAAACUUUCACUCGAGGAUUAAGCGUGUGUACUCGCGACUUGAGUAAAGAUUUGAGGUCAAAUUGAACUUGAAUUGUCUAUGGUAUUCGAGUUUUCUUUCGUAAAGGUAUAUAAGCUAAAAUUUGGUUGAAACUCAUACCCUUGGAAAAAUGAAAGUAGCGACCAUUCGGAAUAUGUUUUCCUCGUCUUUUAGCCACUUUACAAAUUUAAACGUUUUAACCGCUUCCGAAACUAAAAGAGCGAGUAUGAGUUUUCUAGGGUAUGAUAAGCAAAAUGAAUACUACUUAAAUGAGUUUCAUUUAUUUGAUUUUCUGAAGCGAAACUCCUAUGUUUCGAACUCUAGAGAGUUUUACAUUUUUAAAUGAUAUUUUAUCGCAGAUUUGAAUUUCAACCAAGGAGUUGGACCUGAACGUGAUUUUGAAAAGCACUAGACCUUUGGUGAGUGCUUUGAAAUACAUGAUUGAACUUGAUACUUGAUUAAAUUCUUUACCAACGUGAUCGAAUAAGAUUUGUUUGGUUUGGUCGGGCAAGUGUGUACUUUAUCGCACUUGACCUAACUUAACUAAUCACUUGAUAUCUCAUUCAUGCUUGUACAAGUGACUUGAUUUGCAUUGACUUGUACUUGUAUUUGUACUUGUACUUGAUUUGUAAGUGUGGAGCAGCAGUAUGUACCACACUCGAUACGAGUGGGAGGUACCUCUCAUUCCCGUCUCUGUACUUUUCUUUUGACUAAGUCGAUUGGUCAUCGACUAUCGUGACUACUUGGGAACCCAAACCCUACUGGCUAGUUAAUCGAGUUGAACCGGCAAGGGUUUGGUCGAUUAGAUAACGAACCAUGGAUCUCUUAUUUUGCCGAGUGGAGUGAUACCUUCUCGAUUAAUCAGUACAUUCGAGUAUUACCACCAGUGUUUAGUUGGUGUUCGGGGCUAGUAAGGGGGUUGAAUGGUGGAUGGAUUGGUGUUAAGCGAAGCACUACUGGAUUGGUUACUUUACUCGAAGGUUGAUGGAGUGUUAACUAAUACUUGAUUAAAAUCUGGUGAAGCUACGAGAAAUUGGAUCCUGAGAGUCAUCUGUAUCCUUAUACUUUGAUUGUUAUUCGUACUAUUCUUGUUUCUUUUAGAAAAGAAUUUUACACUCGCUCAUUUUGAGAUUUAUUAUUUGAAGUGUUAUUGCUCACUUUUAUGGACUGGUUAUACUCGCUACUUUGCUACUUUGAUACGUGAACUUUUAAAUAAUGGUCAACUUGCUAUUUGGAAUCUCACUGGGUUUUUAGCUCAUUCCACGCCAUUUGUUUUCCUUAUAGGGGGUACAAGCGAGACGUGAGACUGGUACAGGCUAGCAUAGUUUAGUUUUUUGGAAAUUUGCGAUUGUAUCGCACUAAUCUCAAUUAGGGUUGAAUGUAUUGAGAACUUAAAUCUUGUAAUCUGUUUGGGUUUGUAUGGAUGUUUGAGAUAGAAAUGAAUGUAUUUAUAUGUUCCAAACUUGGAAACUGUUAUUUUUUUAUUCUUGAGGUUGCACCCUAUUUUCUUGACGUGAGUGAGUAAGUCCUGGCGAGAGUUGGGCAGGCGGUCCGCUAAACCCUAAAGUAAGCCCUAAGAAGAGGUGGGGUCGUCACAGUUUAAUCGUCCAAAUAACCAAUAACCAAAAGGCUUCUACUCCACAUGUUAACCAUCUACCUCGAAAUCCUACAAUUGUAGUAAGGAAGAUUAUAAAAAUCGGUUCAUCUGGUAAAACUUUCAUAUUAGAGAGAAAAUUAACAAAUUUUUUUUUUAAUAUCGUAGCUGACUUGGAGCUUAAAAUUAAAAUACCUAUAUUUACUGAAAAAGUCACUGCCAAAUAUUUGGGAAAGCCAGCAGUAAAGAACAAGAGAUGCAUUUUGGUAGGCACUUUUCUUUCCAGGCUUCCCAAGUUACAUCCAAUCCCGACCAAUUUAGGAGGUAUUGGUUUAUAUAUACACCAAUUCUCAUACCAAGUAUUUCAUUAAAAUUAGGGUAAAAAAUAAAAAAGCCCCAUGUGGUAAAGUUAAUACACAGAAAAGCUCCCCAUGAUUUCAAAAUAUACAACACAAUCCCUCAUACUUUGAACUAAAUUGUAAAGGUGACGGAAUCCGUUAAAUUUAACGGAAAUUGAUGAAAUGAUCAAAAUGCCCUGAUAUAAUUAAACAAAAGACAGCUCAAAAAAUUCAUUUAUUUUAUUCUCUAAAUAGAGAGAAUUGAGGGUUAAGGGGUAGAAUAUGUAUAUUUGAUAAAAAUUAGGUAUAAAAAAAUUUUUUAGGUUCCAAUAAGUCAUUUCCGUUAAGUUUAACAUGAGGUGUCGUAUUGUAUAUUUUGAAAUCAUAGGGAGCUUUUCUGUGUAUUAGACUUAUCACAGGGAAUUUUUUUGUUUUUUACCCUUAAAAUUAAAAAGAAAAAUUGCUAAACUCUUUCUCUCUUUUCACAGCAUCUUCGUACCUCUCUCUCUCUCUCUUCCGUAGAUAUGGUCUUUCGUGUUCAAAUACGAGUCUCCCGUUUAUGUAAAACAUUGUAUGUGUUUGGAGUUUCUUUUCAUCAUCUAAGAAGCUGGCAAAAGAGGGGGGAAAAGGAGAAGGCUUUGACUCAAGAAGGAAUUACAAUUACGUAUAAUGAAGCAAAAAAAUAAACCUAACAGUGAUCGGAAAAGCACUUCCAUGAAUGACAAAUAGACUUGAUAUUGACCAAUUUCUAUCAAAAAACUAAAAUAGCAUUUUCUUUUCCCUUUUCUCUAAUUAGUUAUAACUAGCUAAUUAAUUUGCUGCAUUGGUGCACCCUGAAAAAGGCAGCAUCCCCAUGACAUGACAAUUGGUCAAAAUAAGCUAUUUAAACCUGCAAUUGCAAGAUUUCACAUCCCUAAAUCAUUCAAUUGAGAUCCAGUUCUAAUAAAAUUUUCACAAUUAACAAUCGUAUGGGGAAAACCCCCUCAAAAAAAAGAUGACAUUCUCUCAUCCUGCUUUAACUCUUGCUUUGUAAAGUUUUCCGCAAUCCCUUCUCCAAUUCCAUUUCCAUAUGAUCACACGGUUAACUGAAUUAAUUGACAACUCACACGGUUAAUUUGAAUUAACUGAAAGUAACGUUGGAAACUAAUAUCUGAUAACAUAAAACGUGUGUAAUUGAAAGUAACAUUUAACUUAUAUUAACAGAUGGUAAUAUUAAAAAGGAAUGGUACGAAACGUACCAGUCUUUCAUAACCGAUGAAAAAAAUAAUAUUAAAGGUGAACGUUACGUAACUUACCAGACCUUUGGUUAUGAUAAAAAAUUUAUUUUUUUAGGGAAGAGUCAAAUUUUGAUUUAUAAAAUCAGUAAAACUUACUUGGGCUACGUUGGGGCGGGGGGAAUCCGUCAGCUUGUACUGAUAUGACCCAACUCAAGCAAAUUUCUCUAAGCAAAUUUCUUCUUUAUGGUCUGUUUAUAUUGAAAGGGUUAAUCCCAAAUUUAAUUUCAUUUUUAUCAAAAUAUUAUCCUAUCAUUACAAUUUUUUUCAUUUGAUAACAUGUCAAACAAGCGUUGCAUUUAUGGCCUUUGUAGACAAAGAAAAUUUGUUUAAUUUAUUUAAUCAAGGGUUAUUUAAAUUAAUUGACCUUGAUUAAAUUAAAUUAAAUUAUAGAAGUUCAUCAUGUUUUGGACUGGCAAAUUGGGCCAAUAUUAUAUGAGCUAUUAAAUCAAAUUAAAUUUGUAAUGUCCAUUUAAAUUGGAGUGAAUUAAUUGAUUUACUCACAAUGGACUAUUUGGAUUGACCCAUUAUUUAAGCCCAAGUUAAAUGGAUUUCUUAAGUGUCAAGUGAUCCAAAAAUGCAGGAAGAUUCUGAGGGUUUUCUUGAAGACCUAGUCUACAUAUUUUGGUUAUAAAUAAAAGCCUUCCCUCAAGGCAAAAGAGAUAGAAAAAUCCCUAACAUUCGGAGAAACUCUGUCAAAUUCUCUCAAGAGCUUUUCCUUCUAUCCAAGUCCAAAUCAAGUCAAACAAAUCCUCUUGCCAUUGGUGUUGAAGACUUAAGAGUUUCAAGUGUUCGACGUCGUUUUCUACGCCGAAAUUGUAGGAAACGCCCUUUCGAUUGGAGAACAAGCUUUUUGGCCCUUCAAUUGAAACUAUUCGAAGAGAAGAAUCAGGGGAUUAAUUUCUUUGAUUCAAGAAUUUUCAGAGAUUGUAACCUACUUAUUAUUUAAUUUAAUAAAUUUGAUAUUUGUGCAAAUUUUCUUGUCCUUUAUUUUAGGCAACAAAAUUUGUGCUUACAAAUUUUUGGCAUGCCCGGUGGGACCAUCUCUGCCUCUCAUCUCUUUUCUUCCAACAACUUACCAGUUUCACAAUUCAAUGGAGUUCAAGAAGGUGAACUUUUCUCUUGAAAGUUUAGUGGCCGAUGUCUCAAUAAUUCAAGAGACGCAGUAUACUACACCUCUGACAAGGAGCAAGGCCAAGAAAUUAGCAGAAAGGGCUAAAGUGAACGUUUUGACUGAAGAAACAAACCUCAAGAUGCUUCCCAAGAAGAAAUGAGCCCAUGAUGAAUCCAUUGAUAACCCAAGUGAUUUUGCUACCUUUGUGAUGAUGCCCGUCAUGAUGACUAAUACCACAACUGUGAAAGACCAGAUUUCGAAUCUAGCCAAAAUUGUCGAAGGGCUAGUAGUGCAUGCGCAAAGUCAAGAUGCCAAGAUAGGCAAAUUAAUGGCUAUGGUGAAAAAUAUAGGCGAAAAUAGCCUUAGUAUGUCCAAACAGAAAUUCAAAAUGCAAGAUGAAGGGGACUUGUCAUCAAGGGAGAAGGAAAAAGGGGAUGCGAAGUCACAAGCCGCGAAGGAAUUUUCAAUCUCCCCUGAUGGCACCAUUCAUGUUGAUAAUCUGAAGGAGUUUAUCAAAGGCACAAUCAAGGAUAAGAUUUGUGGAAGCGCCAAGUCAUACAGCGAUUACACUAAACCUUACACCGCUAGAGUGGAAGGUUUGAAGAUGCCUGUAGGAUAUCAACUUCCAAAAUAUCAACAAUUUGAUGACAAGGGUAAUCCUAAGCAACAUAUUGCACACUUCGUGAAAACUUGCAACAAUGCGGGCACUAAUGGUGACUUGCUCGUUAAGCAAUUUGUUCGUUCUUUGAAGGGUAAUGCUUUUGAUUGGUAUACAGAUCUGGAGUCUGGAACCAUUGACAGUUGGGAGAAGUUAGAGCAUUAAUUUCUUAGUCGCUUAUGUAGCACAAAGAGAACUGUCAGCAUGAUUGAACUCUCUAAUACACGUCAAUGGAAGAAUGAACCUGUCAUUGAUUUCAUCGACCGUUGGAGGAAUCGAAGCUUAAAUUGCAAAGAUCGAAUUUCUGAAUCUUUCGCGAUCGAGAUGUGUAUUCAAGGUAUGCACUGGGGACUCAGAUACAUCUUACAAGGUGUACAACCAGAAACGUUUGAUGAAUUGUCCACAAAAGCCCACAAAUUGAAAAUUAAUCUUGAUGGAUAAGAACCACCAGUUCCUGACCCUCACAAGGCUAAAGAGAGACAAGAAGCGAGGAAAGGGGACAAGCCACCAUUCAAAAAUGAAAAGAAAGAGGCUAUGGCUACAAGUAUAAUACCUUUUAAGGUCGUUCCCAAAACUGUCAGGAAAAAAGAUCAAUGCACAUCAAAAAUAAGGAAAGAGGAAAUCGACUCUCAAGGAGAUGCAAGAUAAGGAGUGCCCUUUCCUUGAUUCUGAUGUCCCUGGUAUGUUUGACGAUCUGUUAAGUAUAAAUUUGAUCACGUUUCCUGAGAUGAAGCAACCUGACGAGUCCAGAAACACUAAUGAUCCAAAUUAUUGUAAAUAUCACCGCUUGGUUGGGCAUCCCAUUCAAAAAUACUUUGUCUUCAAAGACAAAAUAAUGGAGUUGGUGAGACAAGAAAAAAUUCUCCUUGAAAAAGACAAGGCAAGUGUGAAUCAAACGUCCAUUGAUUCUCUGCAAUCCAUGGAGAUUAAAAGGGUCAUGGUACCGGUAUUGCCAACAAUUCAAUUUGGUUCAUUAGAUCCUAUAGAAAUCGAACAAGAAGGUACUCCUUCAACUCUUCAAGAACAUGCAUAUGAAGAUGAGAAAGCAUUACAGCCCGGCAUGGAUGAUGAAGGAUGGACUUUAGUCACGCGAAGAAGGAGGCGACAUUCCCAUCCAUCUAGUAAGGCAAACAAGGCCUUAACAAGAAGCCUGGUGAUCUGGAAGGGGAAAGAUAAGGAUGUAAAGAGAAACAAUGACUGUCGUAAUCUUCAAGAAAGUCGAAUUUGCAAGCAAAAGUCACGAAUUCCUGUCACUCUAAAAGAAUUCAUGCUAAAAGAAUUCUUUGAUGUUGAUGUGAUCGCAAGUCACACAACGCGAGUAGAUAAUGUCGAAGAACAAAAGGAUAAUACUCGCGAAUCUUUCUGUGAGAUAGACCGUAUGCCUACCGGUAAUGAAAAAGGUCGCAUGCCUACCGGCAAUGAAAAAGUGAACGUCAUAAGUAUCACUUUCACUAGUGAAGACUUGUUGCUUGGGUCAACACCGCAUAACUGCCCUUUGUUUGUGACUGGUUAUGCAAAUGAGCAAAAAGUGAAUAGAAUUUUGAUAUAUGGAGGUUCCGCAGUCAAUAUUCUUAUUUUAAAGACUCUGAAGGAGUUUGGCAUCUCGGUUGAUGAACUCUCCAACAGCCGACUGAUGAUUCGAGGUUUUAAUCAAGGAGGGCAAAAAGCUCUGGGAUCACUAAAUUUGGAGAUAGUCGUUGAUGACAUGUCAUCCAGAGCGCUGUUAUAUGUAAUAGAUGCUAAUACAACAUACAAUGUACUACUGGGAAGGCCCUGGAUUCAUGAAAAUGGAGUUGUACCAUCAACUCUUCAUUAAUGUUUCAAGUACUGUCAAAAUGGGGUGGCAAGAAGUGUGAAAGGCAAUGAUAACCCUUUCACUGAGGCGGAAGCGUAUAUCGCUGAUGCCAAAUUUUACAUCAAAAGGCACAAUGCGAAGGAUAAGUUUGAGCAACCUCUAUUUGGGGAUAAAAUCCAGAACCCCGAAUCUCCAAGUGCAAAAGGGGAGAAAAUGAUGAUUUCGAAAUCAAAAGAGGAAGUUCAUGGAGAAACUGAUGUUUUAUUGCCAAACAAUGAAUCAGUUGUCUUUCGCUACCCUCCCAAGUCAAGAAUGGAACAGGGACAGUCACCUGCAAUUUAGCAUGAAACUCUAAAAGAUUUGACUCUUCCGGUAGUUCAUCUUGAUACAAAGAAGGUGUCAUCUUCUCAACUUAAAAGGUCUAACUUUUUAAGCAAAGAAUCUGAAAUUGAACAAGACACCAUACCAAAGUCAAGAACCAAAGAAGGUUUUGAUCCUAUCCCUUAUAAGCUUCUCGCUAAGGAUGGAUACGAUCUCAAAGAAUCUGCGGUGUUAAAUGUUCCAUCCCGUCAAUCUACUAGUGACAUAAUUCAUGGAUUGAAUCCUACCCAAAAGAUGUUGAAAGAAAAAGGAUAUACUGUUGAAAAUCCUAAAUUUGGUCUUGGCUAUUCCUUUCUUACACCAAUCCGCAUCAAGAUCAAUAGAGUUAGUAGCCAAUAUAUUGCUGUGGAGGAUGAGUCUUCUCAAAUAGUUGGUAAAUUUUAAACUUUUCACGAAAAGGAGAAUAAAACUCCACGGGUAUCUAUUUUUAAAAGAUUAGGACCACAAAGAAGACAAAAGUCUCAAGACUCUCAUAAGAGUAAAGGAAAAAUGGCAAUAUCAUUGUAAAAUCUUAAAGAACCUUUUGAUUGUUCUCAUAAAUUUGAGAGUAUCGUUCCUUCGAGAAUGAGAAAAUGCACAGACCUUGUAAUAAAGUGUGGGACUGAAUUGAGGGUCAGGGAGCAUAUCGUGGUGUACACAAGAUCAAAAGAGGAUGAUGAAGAGAGUGUUACUUCAUGCAAUCAUAUAACCAUAAUUGACGGUGACUCUCCUCAAGAAGAAGAGGAUGCUGAAGACGCUCCACUUGAAUUGGAAGAAGGUGUUAAGGCCACUGUGGAUGAUCUAAAGGAGAUCAAUUUUGGUACUUCAGAAGACCCACGUCCAAUAUAUGUAAGUGCUUCAUUGAGUCCUGACGAAGAGAACGCAUAUGCUGACCUCUUGCAAGAGUAUCGAGAUAUUUUUACUUGGACUUAUAAAGAAAUGACGGAUUUAGAUCCAAAAGUGGCCGUCCACCAUUUGGCUGUUAAAAAGGGAAUUCGAUCGGUGAAACAAGCACAACGGCGAUUUAGACCCGAUUUGAUUUUGUUGAUCGAAAUUGAAGUCAAUAAGCUUAUUGAAGCCGAGUUUAUUCGUGAAGUUAAAUAUCCCACAUGGAUUUCGAGUAUCGUGCCCGUGCGAAAGAAGAAUGGGCAAAUCCGCAUCUGUGUCGAUUUCAAAGAUCUUAACAAUGCUUGUCCUAAAGAUGACUUUCCUUUACCAAUCGCUGAAUUCAUGAUUGAUGCAACUACUGGGCAUGAAGUUCUGUCAUUUAUGGAUGGCUCUUCUGGGUAUAAUCAAAUUUGACUGGCACCUGAGGAUGAGGAGUUCACUGCAUUUCGUACUCCUAAGGGUAUUUAUUGUUAUAAAAUAAUGCCCUUUGGUCUCAAAAAUGCUGGACCACAUAUCAAAGAGCAAUGCAAAGCAUCUUCGAUGACAUGCUUUAUAAAAAUAUCGAGUGUUAUGUGGAUGAUUUAGUUGUUAAAUCAAAGAAAAGAAGUAAUUGCUUGGAGUACUUGAGACAAGUAUUUGAUCGGUUGAGAAGGUAUCAACUCAAAAUGAACCCUCUCAAGUGUGCAUUUGGAGUCACGUCGGAGAAAUUUUUUGGUUUUAUGGUUCGCUAUCGAGGUAUUGAAAUUGAUCAGGCCAAAAUUGAUGUUAUAUCGAGGAUGCCUGAACCUCGUGACAUUCGUGAAUCGAAAAGUCUUCAAGGGCGAUUAGCUUAUCUGCGGAGAUUUAUCUCAAAUUUAGCAGGAAGGUGUCAAUCAUUUAGUCGCUUGAUGAAGAAAGAUGUGCCAUUUCAAUGGGAUGAGGCAUGUAGUAAUGUAUUCAAUAGCAUUAAGUCUUAUCUUAUGAAAGCAUCUGUUUUGGCUGCACCUAUACAUGGAAAGCCAUUAUUUCUUUAUAUUGCUGCCCAGGAAUGCUCAGUGGGGGCAUUGCUUACACAAGAAAAUAAUGAAGGAAAAGAAGUUGCCUUUUAUUAUUUAAGCAGAAUGAUGACCCCCAACGAACUAAACUAUUCACCGAUUGAAAAGUUGUGUCUAGCUCUUAUUUUUGCAAUACAGAAGUUAAAACACUACUUUCAAGCACAUAGCGUGAGGUUCAUUUCCAGGGCGAAUCCUAUAAAAUAUGUGAUGAGCAUACCAGUAUUAUCCGACCGUCUAGCUAGAUGGUAUCUUCAACUACAACAGUUUGAAAUUAUUUAUGUGCCUCAAAAGGCUGUGAAAGGACAAGUUCUAGCAGAUUUUCUUGCUAAUCAACCGAUACCUGCUGAAUGGGAGUUAAGUGAUGACCUGCCAGUUGAGGAUGUACUUCUUGUUGAGAUUCGCCCACCAUGGAAGAUGUAUUUUGAUGGUGCGGCUCAUCGUCGUGGAGCUGGAGCGGGGAUUGUAUUCGUGACUCCUGAUAGAGGGAUAUUGUUAUACUCUUUUACUCUAAAUCAACAUUGUUCAAACAAUGUCGCUGAGUAUCAAACUCUCAUACUCGGAUUUGAAAUAACUGUUAACAUGGAACAGUUGGAACUUCAAAUCUAUGGUGAUUCUCAAUUGGUGGUUAACCAACUCUUAGGAAGUUAUGAAGUCAAAAAAUCUGAAUUAAUUCCAUAUCACAAAUAUGUAACGCGACUUAUGAGGCAGUUUGGAGGUGCAAGUAUUAAGCAAGUUCCUAGAAGGAAAAAUAAGCAAGCUGAUGCAUUAGCUGCGCUAGCCUCUUCACUUACCAUGCCGAAUCAUGAAAUACAAGUUUGUGUAUGCCAAAGUGGGUAGUUCCAUCACUAAUUGAUGAUGAAGAUAUUGAAGGAAACGAUGCUCAUGUGGUCUCAACGUAUGAAAUUGACAAAGAAGAUUGGAGACAACUUCUCGUUGAUUAUCUCAAAUAUCAAAAAUUACCUGAGAAGCAACGUAGGAGAACUAACAUCCGUCGUCGUGCCCCUCGUUUUAUCUUGUACAAGGAUACGUUGUACCGAAAAUCAUUUGAAGGUGCACUGUUGCACUGUCUGAGCGAAGAUGAGGCAUAUCGGGCGAUGUACGAGGCACAUUCUGGAAUAUGUGGAGCUCAUCAAUCCGGUCCCAAAUUACAUUUUUGGAUUAAAAGGAUGGGCUACUAUUGGCCUACUAUGGUCAAAAAUUGCAUAGAAUAUGCUCAAAAAUGUCAAACUUGCCAGUUUCAUGCAAAUUACAUUCAUCAACCAGUUGAGCCGUUACACCUGACCGUUGCUUCUUGGCCUUUCGAUGCUUGGGGCUUGAUGUUGUGGGGCCAUUACCAAAGUCGUCCGGUCAACAUUUAUAUAUAUUGGCUGCGACCGACUACUUUUCUAAAUGGGUUGAAACCAUAGUGCUCAAGCAAGUUAGAAAGGAAGAUGUGGUGAAUUUUAUUCAUGUGAAUAUUAUUUACCAUUAUGGAGUUCCCAGGUACAUUAUCACUGAUAACGGAAAAUCCUUCUCCAAUAGCUUGAUGGAUAAGUUGUGUGAAAAAUUUAAUCUCAAGCAACGCAAGUCCUCCAUGUAUAAUGCCCCCGCCAAUGGUCUUGCAGAGGCAUUCAAUAAAACUUUAUGUAACUUGUUGAAGAAAGUGGUGGCUAAAUCAAAAAAGGAUUGGCACGAAAGGAUAGGUGAAACUUUUUGGGUUUAUCGCACCACAUAUCGAACUCCAACGCAAGCCCCACCAUAUGCCUUAGUCUAUGGUGUAAAAGCUGUCAUGCCCCUUGAGCAACAAAUUCCUUCUUUGAGAAUUGCAAUCCAGGAAGGGCUCACGGAGAAAGAAAAUGUUCGCCUGUGCCUUGAAGAAUUGGAAGUUUUAGAUGAAAAAAGAUUAAAGGCCCAACAAAAUCUGGAAUACUAUCAAGCCCGUCUCUCUAGAGUUUUUAAUAAGAAAGUUCGGCGCCGCUCCUUUCAAGUCGAGGACAUGGUACUUGCCGUUCGAAAGCCAAUAGUUAUGACUCAUCGCACUAAAGACAAAUUCGUCUCCAAAUGGGAUGAACCAUAUGUUGUUCGAGAAGUCUACACGAAUGGCGCGUAUAAACUGGUGGACAAAAAUGGCGUAAAAGUUGGUCCUAUAAAUGAAAAAUUCAUGAAGUUAUACAUGCCAUAAAAAAAAUGAAGUACUCCAUGACGCAUGAGUCUAAACUGCCUGUUGCUCCAGACCCGCAUGAGCUAAAAUUGUGAAUAACAACCACCAAUAGUAUAACACGUGGUUAAACUGCUGAAACACUCCACCAAAUCUAAGGUGGUAAACAAAAGGAUAUUCCUGACCCGCAAGAGUUUAAACUGUGAACGGUAGGAACUACGUGUGAUUUGAUUCCUUUUUGGGAUACGUAGGCAGCUUAGAGGACAACUUCUAAGUUCAGUUACAACCUCAUAAAACUAAAGUCUUUACCCGGAUAAUUCUUUUGAUGAAAAAAAGAGAACGUUCAUCUUUAGGACAGUUCGAAUUAUUUUGUGACAUAUACUUGAAAGUGUAUUAUUCAGAUUACCAAAUUAUUUGGAUAAUUACUUUUUCAAGUGUGAUCAAAAUUAUGCAAAGAUGAAAUUAUUUGUAUUGCAGUUGAUAGUCUAAAAUGGUGGCUAUUGAAAGAAUAAGGAAAAACGAGGACAUCUACAAGAAUGUGGGGAAAAAAAAGAUCAAGUUUCAUUAUGAAGUGCUUGUACUCGUAGCUACACGCUUUGAGCAAUUAACAAAAGAUGAAAUUUGAAACAAAGUAAAAGAUUGUAACUAUUCCUAGAAUUCAAAUGACGACAGCUUCUUUCGGUUGUUUUCAAAUAAUGCUUGCAUCUUGUCCAAAGUUUGACUCUCCUCAGUAAGUAGGGGCGGGAAAUCCUCAACCUUUCGAACUUCAUUUCGUAAGUUGACCAUCACGCCUUGCACUCGGGUAAGCUCGUCCUGCUCUUCUCGUAGCAGUGAAAGCGUCUCCUUCCUGUGAGUAUCCAAAAACUCAAGUCGCUUUCUCAACUCUACUUCCUCGCGAUCAAUCUUCUUAAGUUUCAACAUGUGCGUUAAGAUCUUUUUUGCUUGUUGUUUCUCCUUACUCUGAGCAUCUCUAAGAUGUUGGGUGGUCGUAGAAAGCAACUCAUUGUAUGAUUCAACUGAAAUUUUAUUUGAGAGAGAAUAUUUCACUGCAACGUAACGAGCUGCAUUUACAAAGAAAGCCUUUAAAAGGCCUUGCAAAUUUGAGAUAUCUGUGGCAUUGAAACUUUGCAUUUCCUCCAUAAUUUCGCUUGCUUUCAUUUCAAGAGCAGGCAUGCGCUCCAAGGCUGUUUGAGAUACCAUCACCCUCAAAUUAUUACACAACAUUUGGAUAUAGUCUAACGGCAUGUUGAGAUUACACUUUGGGGGCAAAAUUCAGACACCUGACCACGAUGGUGGAUCGAAAACUUUGAGUUUCUUUUUUACUGAUGGAGUCAUAUGUUCCGCCUUCUGUGGCGUGAUUUGCUGAAUCACAUUUCCAUCCUCUAUUGCCUUUUUGGAAUUCUCACUAGCACCUUUUUGUUGGGUAGAACUGACCACUUGUUUUGCCAAAAGUUCAAAUGCAGUAGGUCCUUCAACUGAUACUUGGCUUGGUUCUCCAUCAUCAAUAAAGAUCAAAUCUUGAUCAUCCAACUGUAAGGAAAACGUUAUGAGAUAAAUCAUGAAUAUGAAAUUAACAAGCAAAUUUCAAAUGCUAAAUUAAAGAAGGCAAGGAGGGUCCUUACAAUAUUGGCACGGCUUAUACCAGGCACAGAUAUAUCCAGAAUGUCUUUAAAGGGUUCUUUAGCAUCUAAACCAAUAUCAUCCAAAGGGAGAGUCAUUACCUUGGACUUCUUGCGCUUCCAAUGCUGGUCCGUGCUAGUGGAUUGCUCAUCCUCCUCAUCAAAAGGCUCGCUCCUCUUCUUCUCAUGUGAAUUGCAAGAAUCAUGAUCAAUAGCCUUCACUAUUUUUGAAAGAAGAUGAAAUGAAGUACCCUUCGAAAAUUGUUCAUUAGGAGUAAGGUCCUCAGGGGUAGCAACCUUGUUGCUUAAACUCUUCAAAAUUUCCUUCUCGCUUCUCAUAGUUUUUUGCUUCAUCUCAAGACUAUUGCCAACCUUGGAAGGAUGGUUCAGGUUUGCAAGUUCCUUCCCUUUUGACUUCUUCUGCUCCCCAUUUGAUUGGACACUCUUAAUCAAAGCAUCACGCCCUUUGAGGAGAUGAUCAUCAUGCAUCAUAGACCACCAUAUUUAAAAGCCUGAAGAUGUGUGCUUGCUAGCAUUCAAGGGAUAGGUAGGAAAAGAGUACCUUUGACUCUGUUUUACUACGAAUGGAAGUGCGCCAGAGUAUUCGACUCAAGUUAUGAUUCGUGGAACGAACAUCUGCCCCGAAUUCCUGUGGAGGAACUUGAUAAAAUCCGAAUUGCCGCGCGAAUCUAUAUGGACUAUAUGGCUCAACAAGGAAAUCCCAUUCAGUAUGCAAAACUAAGUAAUUUGAGCAGGCGCUUACAAGAUAACUUAGUUCGAGAUUCACUAAUUUGCCAUUGUCAAUAAAAAGUUCAUUGCGGUUCUUCACAAGAGAAGUGAUUCCCCAAGUGACUUUGUCUUCCUGAUGAAUGAGGUCGCGAGCACUAUUUUCAUCAAAGUAUCGCGCGCCACCCUCUCCAGAAUAAUUGGUCAUAGUGGGUCCAGGCAUGGUAUUUGGAGUCGAAUAAUGGGUAGAGAAAUAACUCGCUAACCAAGUAUAUACGUAGUGCAUCAGAAAAGCCGCACGUGCACACCCUGGGGUAGCUGAGUUUGAAAUUUUAUCGAGCCUACGGUAUAUGUUUAGCAGGACAGGAACAGCAAGGCAAGUCUUACGACCGGCAGCCAUCAUACUAGCCAUUUUGAAAGUAGAUGGUCUAAUAUAAUGGAGGUUCUCAUCUGGUAAAGCAAAGACACAGAGCCAGCAAGAUAUAAAUGCUGCAAGAUAGGUUUCUUCCUGCAAGUGAAGUUUAACUCCGAUGGUAUCAAAUAUGCCAUUGUCUUCACCUGAAAAUUUGCGUGGUUGUCCAAUUUCGCCAUUCGAAUUUUGGGUCGCUUGAGCACGAUAUGCCCUCUUUAUCCUUCUUUGCUUUGGCUUUGAGUACUUGGUUUUGCCUUUAAACCAGAAGUUAAUCCAUUGGGCAGCAGAAACUCCAACUUUGUUGGAUUCCCCAUGUUGAAGAUGAUGUAAGGCUGCGAACAAAUACUCACAGUUUUGUAGAAUAUGCCUUAAUUUCUUUUCAUUAACUCCAAUUAGCUCCUCCACGCAUGAGAUUACCUCUUCAUAGAUACCCCCGAUGAUUGGAAGUCCUCCUAACUUGUGCAAGUCCCAAAGUGAGAGAGACAAUUCCCCGGCAGAUGUAUGCAAGGUAUUAGUGUCCGUACACCAUGCCUUGCAGAAUGCUCUAAGUACAUGGGGAUUUCUAUCGUAUGUGACAAGUGAAGCAUAUAAGGCGUCAAACAAGUAAUUUUCACGGAACACUUGUUUACUCCUGCCAAGAAUAUCCUCCAACCACUCUCAAUAAUUCUCAAUGUAACUGAAUGCACCACUGAGUCUCAAGGAAGGACUACAGUGUGCAUCUCCGUCUAUGAUCCGCCUGCCAAGGGUUUGAAAAGGAGUUGUCCUUGGCUCCUUAUCAUGAAUAAGGGAUUUCAAGAAGUGAACCUUCGUGCCAUCAUCUUGAGAAAGCUCGAGUGACCAAUCUUUCAACUCUGGGUACUGGUGAGAAUGCCACUUACCCGAGUAAGAUCCUUGUAUAGGGGGAUGCACCAAUAAUUUCGUUCCUUUGUCAUCAGAGUCAUCAUGACUAUUGGCGAUAAGGAGGUACCUUUCGUUUGAAGUGGUAACUUCCUUGAAUAUUGCCAUUUCGUUAGGGCUAACCUGCAUAAAAAAGGGGUUACAAUGGCGUGACCAAAGACAGUAAGUGGAGUACUAAGUCGUUAGCAUAGGAUAAAUAAAGAGAUUUCUAGAGCGUUGGUAAGCUCUUAUUGAGGUGGACAUUUGUGCCUCCUUUAUAUACUCCUCAAGCCAUAAUAUGGUUCUCGUGGGAGUUUGCGGUUGCGCCUUCUUCAAAUUUUGGUCGCACCUCCUUUAUGUACUCCUCAAGCCAUAACAUGGCUCUUGUGGGAGUUUGCUGUUGCGCCUUCUUCAAAUUUUGGUCGCGCCUCCUUCAUGUACUCCUCAAGCCAUAACAUGGCUCUCGUGGGAGUUUGCUGUUGCGCCUUCUUCAAAUUUUGGUCGCGCCUCCUUCAUGUACUCCUCAAGCCAUAACAUGGCUCUCGUGGGAGUUUGCGGUUGCGUCUUUUUCAAAUUUUGGUCGCGCCUCCUUUAUAUACUCCUCAAGCCAUAACAUGGCUCUCGUGGGAGUUUGCGGUUGCGUCUUCUUCAAAUUUUGGUCGUACCUCCUUCAUGUACUCCUCAAGCCAUAACAUGGCUCUCGUGGGAGUUUGCGGUUGCGCCUUCUUCAAAUUUUGGUCGCGCCUUUUUCAUGUACUCCUCAAGCCAUAAUAUGGCUCUCGUGGGAGUUUGGUCCAUCGUGCAUGUUGUAACGAGAAAUCCUCCCUUCGUGGCAAAAAAAAAAAAAAUUGGCAUUGACAAGAAAUAAAAGCCAUAAGGUAUGUGAAUUACCUUAGCAUUUUGAACUCCAAGAGCUAUGGUCCUAAAAUUGUGGACACAAUUGGAACGUCAAUUUGCUUCAAACAAGAUAUGUCGACGUCAGCUGCAGAGAAAAAAAAAUUUCAGCCAUAAUUUUGUGCAAAAAAAAAAAAACUCAAAAAAAAAAGAAAACAUUUUUUUCCAAGGUGGAAAUAAAUCAAGUUUUGACAGAUCUCAAUGAAAUUUGGCGAACAUCUAUUACUCGACCAACAUGUGGUUUUCAAAAGGCAGUAAAGAUGAUUACCUCUAGGGUGCACGUGUGAAACAGGUUUCUUCCUCAAAUAUUGUAGUAGUUUUCAGUAAAGAUGUUUGUCACAGUUUCAAGACAAAAACAUGUCUUGUGCAGCUUUUAUAAGGUGCUUGGAUGAAUCAUUUUAAGAAGUUUUAAAUUUCGGGUAGCUACUAAAUUCAAUGAUUGCCAUUUAACUUUUUGGAAUCACAUGAAUUUGGUUCCUAAGACUAAUUUCAAAAGCUGGAAGUCAGUUUAGGAAACUAUCGAAAUUUGAGAAAUUCCAUAUUGUCAAGACAUUGGUUUCGACAAUUACCUAUUCAUUGUAUGGAGUAAAGCUGCAACUCCAUAUGGAAGAGGAAGGCACAUGUCUGUUUACAAAGAGAGAAUACUAUAUUAAUGCAUGGUGUUUUAGAAACUUGGAAUAUUUGGCAAUUGCUCUGAUCUCUCGGGUAUUGCUAUUUCCAAAAGCUGCGCACAUGGACAUUGGCUUUGGAAACAUUAAUAAUGGGUAACCAAUAUGUAUUACUUGUUUCUAAGUCAACCGCAAGUAAUAAGCAGUACGGCGGUCAUAGGAACAAAAUUUCCAAAUGCAAGUUUGAAACGAAGUUGCAAUAGAAGUGGUGAUACCCAAUUGGAUGUUUCCAUUUCUUGCUUCGACAUACUGCCGGUUACCAUAAGCAUUUGAGUGAUUUUGGAAAGUGAAGCAUUACUUAUUGUUUUUUGGUAUCAUUUCCGAAGUGGUUCAGCAACUUUUGGUUUCCAAUGUCUGUGGCUAGUACCUUAGGACAUUUGAAAUCCCAAAGAUCAAUGAGAUAGCCAUUUGGAUAAUACAAUUGGCUUUGGCAAUUGCCAAGCCAUUGAGUUACGAGACUAAUUGCAACAAUUGCAUUGUAAUGACAUGGGGAAUAAUCCUAUGCAUCACACUUUGCCAUAGAUCACAUGUAAUCCGUGAAUGGUGUAGAUUUUUUUUAUGAUCUUCGAUCACCUGUAUUAACCCAGGCUCUUGUUGCUUCCCACCAAAUCGGCAAAGGAAUUGGCUUCUCUUGAAAAAAAAAAAAUCAAGUACUUCAAGUCUCGAUUACAUCCUUGCCAAGCAAGUCCCAAUUGAGUCUUGAAGUGGGGGCAUUUGUAGACAAAGAAAAUUUGUUUAAUUUAUUUAAUCAAGGGUUAUUUAAAUUAAUUGACCUUGAUUAAAUUAAAUUAAAUUAUAGAAGUCCAUCAUGUUUUGGACUGGCAAAUUGGGCCAAUAUUAUAUGGGCUAUUAAAUCAAAUUAAAUUUGUAAUGUCCAUUUAAAUUGGAGUGAAUUAAUUGAUUUACUCACAAUGGACUAUUUGGGUUGACCCAUUAUUUAAGCCCAAGUUAAAUGGAUUUCUUAAGUGUCAAGUGAUCCAAAAAUGCAGGAAGAUUCUGAGAGUUUUCUUGAAGACCUAGUAUACAUAUUUUGCCUAUAAAUAAAAGCCUUCCCUCAAGGCAAAAGAGAUAGAAAAAUCCCUAACAUUCGGAGAAACUCUGUCAAAUUCUCUCAAGAGCUUUUCCUUCUAUCCAAGUCCAAAUCAAGUCAAACAAAUCCUCUUGCCAUUGGUGUUGAAGACUUAAGAGUUCCAAGUGUUCGACGUCAUCAUCAAAUCAAUCGUUUUCUACGCCGAAAUUGUAGGAAACGCCCUUUCGAUUGGAGAACAAGCUUUUCGGCUCUUCAAUUGAAGCUAUUCGAAGAGAAGAAUCAGGGGAUUAAUUUCUUUGAUUCAAGAAUUUUCAGAUAUUGUAACUUACUUAUUAUUUAAUUUAAUAAAUUUGAUAUUUGUGCAAGUUUUCUUGUCUUUUAUUUUAGGCUUGUCUUUUAUUUUAGGCAACAAAAUUUGUGCUUACAGGCUUAGAAACUGGGAUGUUUCAACAAUUCAGCAUUCAAUCUUUCAAUUGGAAAUGUGGAUUCUUUGUUCACAUUGACCUUCAUACUCUUCAUUAAAGGCAUAUAAUUUCCUCUUUCAAUUAAAAAAAAAAAGUCUUAAGCUUACUAGAAGAUAUAGAAAUUAAGCAUAUUAUUUCUAACAACUGUUUUGGUUGACAAUACAAUAAGAUAAAUUAUUUCUAGACACAUGAUAUGCAUAAUUUGCAGACAAACUUGACUUGUACGAAUUGAAGUGUAGAAUAUGUUUUAUGUGACCUACUAUCAGAGGAGAUUUGCUUUCUAAAAACAACUAACUAGAAUACAAUAAUUUUUUUCGAAUCUUUAGGCAUUAAAACCACAAGGAUUAUUCUGUGAUAUGACAAUCUGAAAAGAAAUUUAAGGAUUUUGAAAAGCAUAUGCAUGCUUCUUCAAAACUUGACAAAGUAUGAAAUGUAACGAAGAUUGUGCCUGAGAAACAAGAAAUUUGGAGUAAUUGAACUAAGAAAUUUGGAGGAAUGAUAAAGACGUAAUCUCAGUUAGUGAAGUGGUAAAAUGACUGCACUUGACCAGGCUUGCAUGCUGUAUGACCUUCAUUUUCCAGAUAGGAUGACACGUUUGCCGUUGAACUUUCAAGAACAAGAUUGUGCCUACAGUAUUCUGGGCUUGUCUGCUUUCAAAAUACUGCGACAGAUAAACUCAGGGAGGCUGAUUGCUUCAUGGACUUGGAUAUCAGGUUGUUCUUAGUGGUGCAAGAUGUUACAAUGACUCGGUUAAUCAAUUGGGCAUUGGUUUAAAAUUGUAAAGAGAAUGAUUAAAUAAUUCAAAUGUGGGACUCAUAUUUAAUCACAAUAUCAGAUGGUGUAUUAUUGGGUUGUAUGUGAGCAUCCAUUUUAGUGGCAUUCUUGGCUUGUUGGAUGAAUUUUAUGAUGAAAGCAAUUAAAAGGUCUCUUCUCUUGUAAAGUGACCCGCUCAUCCAUCAAUCAUACUCAAAACCCCUAUUGAACUAUAUACAUACAUAUAUAUAUAUAUAUACAUACAUAUAUAUAUAUAUAUAUAUAUAGAGUCUAGGCAGUUUGGAGUUAAUGAUCAAUUAUUAUCCCUUGUUCCCUUUUCCUCGUCUUAGUACUAGAUCAACCUGAACCGUCUCAAUUCCUAUCCACAGCCUUUUCCUUCCGUCCAUUUCAAUAAAUCCAUUAAUGAGUGUGCAUAACUGGAAAGAUUGCGAGUCCAAUUCUUUCCUUGUUACCUUUUUUUUUUGGUUCCUCUCUUUAUUUUUUUUUAAAAAAAUGAAAUAAGGGAAAAAAAAAAGUUCAGUGCCAUCAAUCCCAUAACAAGCAGGCUUGAGAACGAAAAAGAUCCACUUAAAUAUAAAUAGGAUACAAUUUAAGAGGGGAAAACUCAAACAUGGUACUAGUCUUUAAAGGAUCCAAGGAUCUCCUCCAACGACAGCAUGGUCUCUGUUUGCCCUGUUUUACAUGUACUUGUCCAAUGCAUACAAAACAUACAUACUAAAAAACUGAAAAUGAAAAGACAAUGUGGAAAACAGAUGGGCAGAGAUGUUAAAUCGCAUGCAUCAGAGGAUCACACUGCAGUUGUCCCGUUAAACCCUGUUUCAGAUGUAUAUACCUCUAUGUUAAGUUGUUAACAAGCAUUAUAGAACCAAGAUAGAGCGACAGAUUCCAGAAAGAAAGAGAAAAUUCACCAGUCAGGCAGAGAACGAUUGGCAAGGAUUAUUAUUAUGGUGAACCCAAUGAAGAAGAGGGCGGCGGACAUCUGCUUGAAUGGGGGAUCGAGGUUCAUCCAGAUGGCCAAGAGAAGCGCAACAGCGCAGAAGAAAAUUGCAACGUGCUCCAUGACAAGAGAUGCUUUGUGGUAAUGGCGACGCAUGUAAACAGAUACCAACAAAGCUAAGAAGGCCAGCUCAAAAGCCAUGCAGAACCAAGGAAAGGUUGAAGCUACAGGGAGAGUUGCACGAGUUUGGAGAGCUUGCAAGAUGACGCUAAUGGCCGCGAAACAAGCUCCAAUAACCAGCAACCCCCACUGCAUGUUCAUCACGUUAUCAAUCUGGGCUCGAUCAUGAUGACUAUCAUCGGGUUGCUGCUGCUCCACCAGACGCGCGGGCUGCGGGUCCUCUGUUUCAGAUACUGCACCACCAGGCUCAACCUGGGCGGUGGGCAACUCUGGUGGAAUUGGCCUUGCACCCCUCCAUAAAGGGAGCUGCUUGGCCAGGUCGAUCGUGGUAUUGACAGCAAGCCUGAAUUUUCCCCACAUUCCUGAGAAUCCCUUGGUUUGGUCUUUCAUGGAGGAAUUGAGAAUCCCUUGGUUUGGUCUUUCAUGGGGGAAUUGAGAAGCCCUUGUUGAAUAGAACAAGUAAAAUGGCAGACCCCAGAUAGAAUGAUGUGGAACUGUCCAAUGCAAUGUCUUGACCAAUGUUUUGAAACUCGGACCGUUAAUUAAACCGAUGAAGUGAUCGGGUCGAGAUUCAAUCGAUCGGACGGAUUCAACCUUGGUUCGAUAAUUAUAUGUAGACACACACACAUACGCACACACAUUUGUCCACAGAGUAAGAUUAUCCCAUGGACUAAUUUAAGACAUCACUUGAUAAAAACUUAAAUAUUUUUAAAUACAAAUAAAUUUUUAAAAUUGUAAAUUCAAACAAAUAAAUUCAUCCCAAUUGUACCUCCUAAGAAAAAAUCUUAAAUCCUACACAAACCACAACCAUAUUCUGAAAUUAAACAAAAUGCAUUGGUCCUGACCACCAUGGUGCACGGUUGUCCUUCAGGUCCUAGAAGAAGUGAAAAGAUAGAAAACGCCCAAUUUAGAAUUUUCAAUAUCCAGCAAUGACUUGCAAAAGUUUAACCUGAUUUUAUCAAUAGUAUGUCCCAAACUUAAGAGUGUGCAAGACGUACUAUAGAACCAAUUAUUCCCCCGGUAAAUGUAAACAUUACGUGUACUCAUUCUUUUAUUUAUUUAUUUAUUUUUUGAAUAAGUACGUUGUAAUCCUAUGGAUAAAGGUUUUAUCUUUGGAACCAGUUCCAUCAUUAUUUUUUAAUGCUGAUUCCCAUCAUAUCCACUAAACUAAAUGUCUCUCUUCUUUUUAAACAAUUUUUACUUACCAGCUUGGAGAAAAUGGAUUCAACAUGGAUAGUCCCAAAAUUUUCAGCUACGCGGAAAAACAUUAGCAGUAUGGGAGAUUGAUAAAUCUUGCUCAAACGUGUUAACUACUUGCCUAUGCCCAAAAACCCAAACAUGAUUAGGAUCGCAACAGAGAAGUGUUCCAUGACCAUAAGAAGAAUACAGUCGAGUAAGGGUCCUCUAUUCGUGUAUAAAACUAGUUCAUCUUUAUUUUGCAUCAUGAUUCGUGAGUGUAGUUGUUAUAUUAUCUUCUUGUCAGGAAUGGGAAAUGUAAAUUAGAGAAAUACACAUACCUCUAUUAAAUGGAGAAUGAACAUAGCGAAUUGUGUGGAAAAUGGCAUUUAGGAAUAUCAAUAUGAUCAAGCAGCUUUUGGUGUUUAAUUUUACAGUUUAUUAUAUCCCUCUUUACCCUGUAUUCCAAAAUUCCCUCUUUCAAAACUAGUUGCACAACCAAAUAUCUAAUUAUCCUUUUUACUUGGAGAAAAAAAAAACCUCAAUUCAAUCUCGGCCGGUAGCCUCUGUCAGAAUUGAACUGCAAUUAUGUGAUUAUAUGCUAGAAGAAUGUAGAAUUGAAUGCAAUUCUAGUAUCCAAUUCUGACAGGGGACAAACAGAAGCCAGAUACACACACAUGCAUUUGGCAGCUGAACUGUUGACUGCAUAAAGAAAACAAUAACAAGGAGAAAAUGAAUAAAUGAUUCGAGCAAAGCUAAAAGCCUUCUCUAUUGCAUUCAGACUGCUGAAAUCUUGAUCCAGUUGAGGAAAUGGGCUUUGAUUUGAAAUUCUCUGUUGGGGAAUUUUGCAGAUUUCGCCAUUGGCAGUAUUGUUGAGUGAUAGGAUUCUAAUGAAUACGAACUGGGCUGGCCGAACAUUUUAGUCCCAAUAGAUCUGAAUUCCACUCUUUUUGUUUUUUUAAAGAAACUCACACUCAAGUUUGCUGUUCUUUGUAAGAUCAGUUCCCUCAGUCUCGAGUUUUCCUAUUUAUUCUGAAGAAAUGCUAUUUAGGAAAUAAGCUUUCAAAAAUUUUCCUAUUUGUUCUUUCUAUUUCUCUCCUUUUAAUUUCACAUGUAAACCUUUUGUGUUCCAUGUACUGCAAUCAUCAGGGCAAAAAUGAUCAGGUCUCUAUUUAUGGACAGUACAAUCCUUCUUCGCUCUUCUUAAGGGAAAAAAAAAAUUGUAGGGCCACAAACCCAAUAAUAGGCUUGAGAACAGAAAGAAUCACAUGUAUAUAUAAAUAGAAGUCACUUCAUAGCACAAACUCCACAAUUAAAGGAAAAGUAUAAACAUAGUGAUCAUAAAACAUCAUUUCAUUGCAGAUGAAUUAUAGUACUAAUCAUCAAACAAAUUACACGAUCAACAUAUUUCCAACAACAACAACAACAACACAAUCGUCUCUCUUUGCUCUGUUUAUUGUAGAAUGCAUAUACAACAACGCUUCCCAGAAAAACUGAGAAUUUUGAAAGCUAAAGGGCAUAGUGAAAAGCAUAAUCUUAACUCGGUCGGACAAUUCGCGAGUCAUUAAAGCGGGAAAAC
rnacentral:lncRNA from 1 species